CCUUCUUUAAUCUUCAUGAGCCCUCUUGGAUCUCUUCUAAGUGAACUUUCCUUUCUUUCCUGUUCUAAGGCCUUUUAAGUAAACUUCCACUCCUGCUCUAAAAUGUGCCUAGGUCUCUUGUUCUGCUUUAUGCCCCUCAGUCUAGUUGUUUCUUCUGAGGAGGCAAGAUUUAAAGUUGCGGCCGACCUGUGCGGAUUUGCUACUGGUAACUCCUGGUAACUCCGGUCUCUUCCACCACUAACAAAAUGAGGUCCUUGAGGUGGGCUCUAAUUCAGUAUGACCGGUAUCCUUACAAAGAGGAGAUGAGGACCUAGGCACACUCAGAGGAAAGAUCGCUUGAAGACACAAGGAGAAGAUGACACUGUACAAGCUAAGGAAAGAGGCCUCAGAAGAAACCAACCCUGCUGACACCUGGGUCCUGGACUUCUAUCCCACAGAACUGCAGAGGGGUUCUCUCCCCUUGGCUACCAUAGCUGGGAAUAUUCUGGGUCACACAUGAAGCCAGCAUGGCUCUGAAUCUUACCCAAGGGACACAGUAAGCAUCGCUCGUGUUCUGCUCUUGCACCCUGAUCUACCUCCCCUUCCUUACCCUAGAGCACCCCCAUGCUGACAGAGUCUCGCUCUGUUGCCAGGCUGGAGUGCAAUGGUGAGAUCUCAGCUCACUUCACCCUCCGUCUCCCAGGUUCAAGCAAUUCUCCUGCCUCAGCCUCCCGAGUAGCUGGGACUACAGGUACGUGCCACCACGCCAGGCUUAUUUUCGUAAUUUUAGUAGAGACAGGGGUUUCACCAUUUUGGCCAGGCUGGUCUUGAACUCCUGACCUCAAGUGAUCCGCCCACCUUGGCCUCCCAAAGGGCCAGGGUCACAAGCGUGAGCCACCGUGCCUGGCCUGAAAUCUUUAGUAUUGUUCUAAAUGGUUGAAUAAGCUAAGCCUAGAGCACAAUACACAUCUUCUCCCUUCUCCUGGGCUCACUUUCCUAGAGGGUUGUUUCUUUGUUUCAUUUUGUUGCAUUUUAAAAUAAGUUAAACAUUUAAGACUUAAAAAAAAAAUUUGGUUGUUGUCAUAGAAAAUAGUCAACAGAUGGUCAAUAGGUGGUCACAAAAAUAUGAGCUAUUCCUUGCCAAGAUUUCUCUUUGGAGUUGUGUGACGCACCUAGAGGACCACUCUUGGGGGUCUGGUGUGCUGGUCUUUAUAGGAAGGGGUUGGUGCCACCUGUUGGCCAUGGCCAGCAUGAAGCAAGUCAGCACUGUCUUGGUCAGCCCAGAGCAAGGAUGUUCUUGUCUAACCCUUCAAGAUAGCUCUUUAAUUUGAACAUUCUUAGUAAUGCCUUAUGAAAAAGUUAUUUUUAUUUUAAACAUAUACAUUUUUAAAAACUGACUUGGUCUGUAUUUUUUUUACUUUAUCCUGUAUCCAAAAGACUUUCUGUGAGAGUAUGUAUCACUCAAAGUAUAAUGUAGACCAAGGCAACAUUAUGAUUUGAUUUACCAAAUAGGGGUUUUGCAUGACCUUUUAAAGAAAUACUCAGCAUAAAAUGUAUUUUGUAUCUUUAAGAUAUUAGGCUUACUUUAUUAACACUGAAUCACACAUGUUGACAGUUGUGGAAAUUGAUCUAAAAAACUGUAUUUUAAAAUUACUAUCUGGUUGAUCAUUCUUUUUGCUAUUUUUGUUGCCUCAAGUUCAUUCAGAUUUUUCUGUUUGUUAAUUUUCAUGCUCUUGUUUAAGCACAAUAAUUUUUGAAAAUCAUGUUGCUGAUUCCAUGAAGAAACGAGUGUUUAGUUUAAAAUAUCAUGAGGGAAGUUUUAUGGUCUAAAAUAUCUUAGACUAGAUAAAGAAAAACUGGAUUCCUUAAUGUAACUUAAAUUCAUUGUUUAAUGGCUGCAAUAAAUCCUGGUGCAUUUUUUCCCUCUGCAAAAGAAGAAAAAUAAUCAUUUAAUAGUUAACAAAAUUUCUCAAUUUACAGUUGAGGUUAAAAGUAUUCAUUUUGAUGUUUUUGAAACAUCAACCACUUUAUCAUACAAAAUAGCUGUGAAGAAACUUUUUCAGCACUAAUUCACUUAAUAAGAAAUAUCAGAACUUUCAACUUAGCAACUUUUAAGUAAAAAUGCAUAAUGAUUUUUUUGUAUUGUUUCACACAAAACCAAAUGCAUAAACUAGCUAGCUUUUUCAGCUUUACAUGUUUAAAGCUCAUUUUUUGUGUGUGUGGGAAAACCAGCUUUUUAAGUUGAAGUUAUAUGAGAGGAUGAAGUAAGUGCAUGAAUAAAGACAAUGUUAUAAAAAUGUAUUUUACUUUUUCAAAGUCUUUGAUAGGUUUCUACACAGAAGACUGCAAUGCAUAAUAAUGUAUCACAUGAUUGAGAAAAAAGAAAACAUUUUCCCUAUUUUUAGAACUAGCCUGUAAAUUAAAAUAAACAGACCAGAAUAAAUAAGGAUGAUUUGGAAAGAGAGAGAGAGAGACAUAAAUAGCGAUGUGUCAUCUUUUGUCAUAUGUAUUGGAAAAGGGAGUACAGGAAAUGGUUUAGUUGAUCCAUGUUCUUCUCAGUACCUAAAUGCAGGGCUAACAAGGGUGAUCAUCUGCAGGACAAAAUGAGGGUUAGUGUGAACGAGUGGACAGGUUUGCAUUGCAUUCUAAACAAUGCUUACAGGAUAAUGGACUCUGAGCUAUCGGUAAUGACCCAGGAAAGACAUCAUGUAAAUAGAAGUCUGGGCAAGAAAGGCUUUUAAAUAAUAAAUAACAAUGAGGAUUAUGUUAGAGUUCUUUUGUUUGAAUAAGAUUUAUUAUGUAGUGAGGAAACGGAAUUUUUGCACUUUAAGUUUGGGUAAUGUAAAGGGGGAGAUGUUAACAGUAUACAGGCUUCCAAUAAUUAGAUUAAUUUUAGGGAUAUUCUAGAGAUCUCUUGUUGUUUCUCAUUUCUCUGUCAUAUUCUAUUUAUACAUCUAUUAUCUGUCUACCUAUCUCUAUCUACCCAUCUCUUUUGCUUAUUGAAAAUUGUAUAGAAUCUAUCAUGUAAGUUCAGAAAAUAAUUUUUAAAGUAUUCAGUAUUGAAUUAUUUAAACUUAGAGCAUGGUCCCAAACCCCAGGCUGGAGAUCCGUACUGGUCCAUUGCCUGUCAGGAAAAGGGCCUCACAGCAGGAGGUGAGCGUUACCUCCUGAGCUCCGCCUCCUGGCAGAUAAGCAGCGGCGUUAGAUUCUGAUAGGAACAGGAGCCCUGUUGUGAACUGCGCAUGUCAGAAAUCUAGGUUGCCUGCUCCAUAUGAGACUGUAAAGCCUGGUGAUCUGAGAUGGAACAGUAUCAUCCCCAAACCAUCUCUCCCCACCCUCCACCCUCACUUAGAGGACUGUAUUUUGGAAUCGAAGUCAUAUUUGACAUAUAAUAGUGCCUGGAUACUCAACCCUAUGAGAUAGGUCAGAUACUACUAUUUCCUUACAAACAAGGAAAUACGAAUUGUAAAAUGCCUACAACUCCUUGAAAUAAUUGGUGUGAGGAAGUGUAAUCAUUCCCCUAAAACAUGACCACUGUUUUUUCAACAUUUUAUUUUCUUCUAAUAAUUAAUCCUAUAGUUGGGCAACAAUUUGGUUGGCCUUGAGUUUAUCAAUCAGCCUUAAAAUUGUUUAGUUUACGUAUUUACUCAUUCAAUCCGUCGUUUAUUCAAAAGAACACAGUACAGUCAAAAAUGUGAGCGGUGAUAAAGUGGCAGAUAUUAGCAGACAACUUAGUUGUUUUCUUUAAGGGACUGACAGUUGUUUCAAAGAUUCUAACAUCUUAUGGAAAUGAUGCUUUUUAUUAUUUGAAUGUGCUAAUAUAAAUAACUUUAAAAUAAUCAAAAUCAUAUUGUAAUACAAUGUUUUGUAGGUCUGGAGUGAGUCUACUGAAGUUCAAAUCUCAGUUCUCCCACCGUCUUGUUGUCUACUCCUAGUCAAGUAAUUUGUCCCUCAGUGACUUUACCUUUAAGAGAAAGUGAUAAUAAAAAUACCUACCUCAUAAGAUUAUUGAGAGGAUCAAAUUGGUUAAUUCAUGUUAAGAGCCUAGAAGAGUGCCUGGCAAAUAGUUAGAAUUUGAUAAUCAUCUCAUAGUAUUACAUGUACAUGAAUCACUCUUUUAUAUGCUACCCCACUUGUCCCUAAUACUGGUCAUAUCACAUGUUAAUCUAUACUUUACAUAUAUAUACUUUAAAGUUUAAAUUGUACAUGUAUAAUCUGGAGAAAACACCUAUUCACAACUGUGUCAUAUGUCCUUAUUGAAUUAGUAGACUUCUUUCCACAUAAACUAAACUUUCUGUGAUCUCCAUAGGCAGCUUUUGGAGAUGUGAUAAGAGGAUGAGUUGCAAUGAAGUGUAUCCAUUAGUUAAGUUUGCUUUAUUUCGAGAAUGAUAUGAAACUCACAUGGUCGUAGUUUAUCUCCUCCUGAUCAACACAUCUAAUUAAUACUUGUGUAUGUGAUUAAGAAAAAUGAAAAAAGUAAAUAUACAUUAAAGUUGAGUCUGUCAUCUAAAAGUUUCAAGUGUAUAGGCAAAACAAAUAUUAAAUGUGGAUGCUGUAUUUUGGGAAACUUAUCUAUUACUUUCCUUAUAGUUGCCAAGGAGGUAAAUACAUAGAAAUCAUUGGAGAUUUAAGUCUCCCUUAAAUAAAGCCUCAGGAGAAUAUAUUAAGCAAAAUGACCUAUUGCUUAUUAAUAUUUACUCAAUUGCUUUGCUGCUUUGAGUUUAUUGGUUUGAAUUCCAGGCUUAUCAUUUACUCAUCUUUCAAUGGAACUACUGAAGUGGCCUCCCCUAACGGGUCUCCUAGCUUCCCCUAGUGACUUUUAUAGUCCAUUAUCCACAAGGAAGUUAUAGUGACUUAUUUUUACCCCUUAAAUAGACAAUACCAAACCCUGCAGAAGAACAUACCCAUUCCUUCCUAUUGCACUUAGAGCCUUAAAUGUGAAUGAUCUAAAAAAUUACCACAAACUAGGCGGCUUAAAACAACAGAAAUGCAUUCUCUAACAGUUCCGGAGGCCAGAAGUUCAAAAUCCAGGUGUUGGCAGAGCCAUUUUCUUUCCAGAUAGUCUAGAGCAUAAUGUCUUCCUUGCCUUCUCUGGUUUCUGGUAACUACCAACACUCCUUGGUUUGAGGCCGCAUCUCUCCAGUUGUCAAUUUCAUCAUCAUUAAAUGUCUCUUGUUCCAUCCUCACAUUGCCAUAUUUUAUGUUUCUGAUGUUCCUCUACCUCUCUCUUACAAACACACUUGUGAUGACAUUUAGGAUUAAUCUUCUUUAGGGUUAAUCCAGGGUUAAUAUCUCAUCUCAUGACCCUCAACUUAAUCACAUUCACAGGCUCCAGAGAUUAAGAUCUGAUAUCUUUGGGACUCACCAGUCAAUCCACUACACCUGGCUUCUUCCACCCACCCAACUCCAGCUCAUCUUAUGCCAGUUUCACUCAUCAUCAUAGCCACAUUGGAUGUCUUUCAGUAUCUGUAAAAAUGCUGGAGUUUCUCUCACCUCAAGUGGCCUCAUUGAUGCUAUCCCAUCACCAGGGCUUAUUCUUUCACUCCCUGGUUCCUGGUUAAGGUCUGCUUAGUCCUAGGACACAUGGUAAACCUUACCUUCCUGUAGAUAUUGUCUUGUGUGUCACAGUUUAAAUAGAUCCUGUUAUGCCCCUUCACAGAAUCCUGUUAUUUUUGUUCAUAUCACUUAUAAUAGUGUUUAACUAGGAAAUCAUUUCUGUCAUUAUGUAAUAAUUUCUGUAUUCUCCAUGAUAGUAGAUGCUUCAUGAGGACAAAAGAGAUGUCUCUUUUGCUCACAAAUGUAGGCCUACCAUCAUUUACAGUGUGUGUAACUCAACAAAUAUCUCUUUUUAAAUUCAGACAAUCUCUGUAAUAAUUAUGCAUUUAUUUGACAAAUAUAAAUAUAAAUGUUCCAGACACAGUUCUAGUACAUAAUUAUAUUUUGUUCUAUUUAACAAGUAGUACACUCUUUAAUUUACUUUAACUUUUUAUAUAACAAAAAUGCUUUAGUGACAAUUAUAAAGUUUUAAAAUGACAUUUUAAUGUAUAUUAUUUUGGAGUCUGAUUUUCAAAAUAUGCAUAUGUAAAGUAAUUUAGCUAGGCCACCAUAUCUAGGCCAAAAAAUGGCCUUUCACCUAAAUUCUUCAUCUUGAAUUUUUUAUUAAAAAUAAAUUCAUUUAUCUUGCUCUUACAUUUUAUUUCAAAUCAGCAGGCUGAGCAAAGUGUUCAAGAUAAUAUUUGAAAUGUAUCAAUAAAAAUAAUACAUUUAUAAACUAUAAAUUGUAUUUAUUACAAAUUAAUAAAAAAGUACCAAAUAUGAUUCACACUAGUUUUUUCUUUUUAAAACUUUUAUUUUUAUUACCAGAGACAUUCUAAUAUACUAUCUAAAAUCUUUGAUCAGCAAAGUGCAGCUUGUAGUUGUGAUGAGCAUCUUAAAGUUAAUUCAUUAGCUUAUACCUUUAACUUACUCUUUAACGUAUGUGUAUAAUAAUAGUCUGGAAAAAAUAAACUUUAUAAAAAUCAAAGCCACCACAAUAGCUAAUGAAAUUCCAGAGUGAUAACUAAUCUGCUCAGUAAUGGUGAUCAUUGGAACCAUAAGUAUACUCAUUUGAAACAUACUCAUAAGUUCUUGUAUUGUUCCCUUUUGAAGAGUGAAAAUAUUUAAAUAUAAUUUAUCCUUAGAUUUUUAAUACAAAAUAAAAUUGAAACACAUUUUUUCCUGUAUCUAAUGAUGCAAUUACCUGUUAGGAGAUAAAAUUCUCUACGCGACCUGAGCAUUAUUUUGUGUUCUUGUUCGGCAUGUCAAGAAUGCAAGGCUCCGAGAGCUUCUUACUUGGGCCAUUUACCAGGAUCACAUUUGCAGUGAGAAUCCUUGAGGGAUGAAGUAACCUUUCUUGGACAAAGAGUAAGCUUGCUUCUGUUAACUAUAAAUCCCCUAGCUCAGUGUUCCCUUCUGUACCUCAACUCACCGUGUCUAUAGGCAUCCAUCUAGGCUUUGUGAAUUACUCUUCCCCAAGUGGGAACAUGAGAAUGGGAAAUAAACAACAAAUUGAAGCUGUGGACAGGGUUAUUGCUGUGAGUAGUAAUGCGUCUUCUUUCUGACCCAAUAAUCUCAUGUCCUCUGCCUGUACUCAUGGAAUAACAGAAUGGCUUAUGAGCUUUAAGGGGGUAAAAUUCCAGGCCCUUCACAGUUUUUGACAUCACCCUAAAACCCUUUUGUGAAACAGAGCACUGAUGAGCAACUGGCAAACAACAGAUUCUCACUAUUUAUUUUCAGCCACUAAACAAAUAUUUUGAACAGUAGCAUUGCCUACAACAUCAUCCACUUUAAAUUAAAAUUCUAACUUUAUUGCUUCUACUGUUGGGAGCAGGCCCCCCAAAAUCUGGCCAUAAACUGGCCCCAAACCUGGCCAUAAACAAAAUCUCUGCAGCACUGUAACAUGUUCAUAAUGGCCCUAAGGCCCACGCUGGAAGGUUGUGGGUUUACCAGAAUGAGGACAAGGAACACCUGGCCCGCCCAGGGUGGAAAACUGCUUAAAGGCAUUCUUAAGCCACAAACAAUAGCAUGAGCUAUCUGUGCCUUAAGGACGUGCUCCUGCUGCAGUUAACUAGCCCAACCUAUUCCUUUAAUUCAGCCCAUCCCUUCAUUUCCCAUAAGGGAUACUUUUAGUUAAUUUAAUAUCUAUAGAAACAAUGCUAAUGACUGGUUUGCUCUUGAUAAAUACAUGGGUAAAUCUCCGUUCGGGGUUCUCAGCUCUGAAGGCUGUGAGACCCCUGAUUUCCCACUUCACACCUCUAUAUUUGUGUGUGUGUGUCUUUAAUUCCUCUAGCACCGCUGGGUUAGGGUCUCCCAGACCGAGCUGGUCUUGGCAUCUACUUAAAACUCUUGACUUCUCAGUGAUUCUUACUGAAAUCUAAACCCCUUUUGAUUUACUUUAGAUUAUUGAGGUUUAGAAAUACUCAAUACUACACAUUACUUAAGUGGAACUCUUCUGUAUGCUUUCCAGACCUCAUCCUAUUUUGCUCUUUUCUUCCUUUUCUAUCGUCAUCUCCCUGCUGGGAUGUCAUCCUCACUUUCCUCUUUGGUGAAUUACUUCAUAUCCUUUAAAAACUUCGGUUCAUUCUUACUGAAAAAACUCCCUGACUCGCAUGGACAUUCUUCUUUCUCCAGCCCAUUCUCCAGCUUUCACAUGUAUUUUAUUUUCUGAAAAUAUAUUAUCAAAAGCAUAAUCAUUUCUUCAGCAGUUCAGGUACUUGAAAAGUCGCUGAGGUUUGUCAUCCUCUCUUCUUCACUGUGGACUCACUUCAAAUAUAACUAUCAAGGCCAGCCUCUUAGUGACUUGCAACUGCAGAUUUUCUCUUACUCCCAAUAUAUGGGAGCUGAGGAUUGACUAUAGCAGCUGUGUUUAUGUCUCUGUCAUUCUAGGACGCAGGUCAAAGAAGCAACCCCAGCCUGGGACUUGCUUAUCUUGUGGAAGAGAAAAAGAACAGGAAAUCGAAAAGAUAAUUCCUCAAGCUUUAUUGGGAACUGAUUCAUUGUGCCUUCUGCCCACACUGGUCAAAACACAUAUAUGAACAAAUCUGACAUCAGUGGAGCUGAGAAAUAUGCAUUCUACAGAAAGUUGCCCCAAGUCAAAAAAAAAGUGAGAGGUUGUCAUUCUACAGGAAGGUGGUAGCAAAGUCAAUUACAGUCUAUUAAGAACAAUAGCAUCCCUCUUUCCUUUGUUUGAAGAGAAAUUAAGUCUAUGUGUGACUGUUUUGCUGAGGUGCAGCCCAUUACAGCCUAUGUUCAGAUAGGUACGAGGUUCCAGUGGCUUUAAGUUUCCCGUUAAUUUACUUCAGCCCCCAGGAACUUUUUUUUUUUUGACUCCAUCUUCAAACCUGGCAGUCUGAUAUUGUUUCAUGGAUUUCUAUUCCCUGUAUCUACUAAGACUUUCUGUAGAAGAUGAUACACUCACUCCAUCUGCCUUCUCUUUGUAGUUUUUACCACAAUAAGAAGACAAGCCUGUCUCUUUUUCCCUGCUAAACAUAAGAGGAAAGAGUCAGAGACGUUACAACAAUGGACAACCUUGGAAAAUAGCUAACGCUAAAUGAGCCACAUUUUCCCUUUGGUAGCAGCUAUCUAGAAGUGUUCAAGCUAUCUUUCAGAAUAACAGAUGCCCUAAUCUCUUCUUCUCACCCCACCUAUCUUCCUUCCAAAUGUUUUUUCUAAGACAUUAGGCAGAGUUGAAUUUACCACAAAGCUAAUAAAACAUGAAUUUUAUGACCCUCACUUGCAUGGGCUCCUUCCUAGGCCCUGGGAAAGACUGUAGCAAUAUAUUCAGAUGGUCAUAUUGCUAUGGUCUGAACUGUGCCACCCAAAAGUUCACGUUGAAGUCUUAACUCCAGUGCAACUGUAUUUGGAAAUAGGGUCUAUAAGCAGAUAAUUAAGGUUAAACAAGGUCAUAAUGGUGGGGUCCUGUGGAUAGGAUUAAUGCCCAAGUAAAAAGAAUAAGAGACAGGGAAUCUGCCCCCAACGCCCCACCCUACCACCAAAUGAAGUUAAAGCAAGAAGGCAGUUGUCUGCAAGCCAGGAAGAGAGCCCUUAACAGAAACUGACCAAGCUGGCACACUGACCUCAAUCUCAGAUUUCCAGCCUCCAGAACUGUGAGAAACAAAUUUCUUUUGUUUAAGCCACCCAGUCUACAAUACUUUAUUAUGGCAGCCCAGACUGAUUAAGAUGUGUUCUGCAGAUGUUGAGGUAUUUUAACUGCAUUUAAAAAUAAAUACAACUUUCUUAUUCUACUCCAGCUGCCUUUCCAUCAUAUUCUUUCUUGUGUCUGAUGAUGUUGAGGUAGCUAUGAUCAUUUUGAGGGCAUUACUGAAAGGAGACUGAGCUGGGGAUGGAUGUAGUUUGGUUUUGUUGUAGUGAGAUACUAAAGUAUAUAACACAUGUUAAAAUCAGUUCCAUGUCUAAUGAAUUUUUGACUACAGGAAAUUAGCUACAUAGAAAAGCCAUUGUGUGGUUCUCCCAGAAGAAGAGAUAUAGAUUUAGAUUUAGAAAUAAACAUGCUCUGUGUUACCCAGGCAUUAAAUAUGUGAUCAGUGAAACAGAAACAAGGUUUGAAACGUGUAGAGCCAGAGCUUUUCUAUAAAAAAUUCUUCCUUUCAUCCAGUUUAUAAAAUGUGUAACUUCUCACAGUUUAUAAAAUAGUAGAUGGCGGAUGUAUUAGUCCAUUCUUAUGUUGCUGUGAAGAAAUACCAAAGACUGGGUAACUUAUAAAGACAGAGGUUUAGUUGACUUACAGUCCCACAUGGCUGGGGAAGCCUCAGGAAACUUAUAAUCAUGGCAGCAGGCACAUCUUCACAGGGCAGCAGGAGAGAGAAUGAGUGCCAACAGGGAAAAUGCCAGGCGCUUAUAAAACCAUCAAAUCUCGUGAGAACUCACUCACUAUCAUGAGAACAGCGUGGGGGAAAACACCCCAUUGAUUCAAUUACCUCCCACCAGGUCCCUCCCAUGACAUGUGGGGAUUAUGGGAAUUAUAAUUGAAGAUGAGAUGUGGGUGGGGACACAGCCAAUCCAUAUCAGAGGAUUUGGUUUGCAUUAAUUUCUAGUCUAAGUGGAAGCUCUGCCCUAGUCAAAAUACACUCAGUAAUACAGUAUACAAUUAUAAGGAGCCAGUAGUUGUGGCUGGUACCUGUAGUCCCAGCUACUUUAGAGGUGGAGGUGGCAGAAUCGAUCGAGCUCAGGAUCCAGGCUGCAGUGAGCUAUGAUUACCCCCUUGUACUCCAGCCUGAUAGAUAUAGAAAGACUCUGACUCAUAACAAUAAUAAAUAUUAAUUAUAACAUUCUAAUUUCUGUUUGGUAGGAAUCACAUAAAAUAGAAUUUAUCAAAAUUCCUGGAAUGUAGAAAAACAAAACCGUAAUAACACUACUAUAAACAUUGCAUAUAUCUGUGUGAGAAGUCAUACAUUUAGUGAAUCCCAACUAUCCUUAAUUUUUAAAAAAUAAAAUUGUGAUAGAGGAAAGAGCAAAUUAUUGCUAUAUUCUCUAAACAGAAAAAAACAAAAAUUGUUAUAUGAAGAGACAGAGUAGAAAAAUUUUUGGAGAAAGUAUUAUAAAAGAAUGUCAGGUUCUAAUAUAAAUACAUUUUCUGGAUUUGGGGACAUUUGUGUAAUUUAAUAUAUAUAAACUAUAAUUUUGAUUAGCCUCUAAUUUAAAUAAAUAUUUAUACUUUCACAUUUAUUUUUGUAUUUUUAUUUUUUAUAUAAUUUUCCUUAAAGAGCUCCCCUAUUGUAUAAGUGUGAGGCUCCACAAAACCUGGAUCCAUCCCUAGGUAUAGGUCUUUUUCAACCAUAGGCUUGCAAAAUUGAGGAAGUAUAAGAGUACAAACCAGUAGAUCAGAGGUCCCAAACACACAUGGCCAGUUGUGGUAGGAGCUACAAAGAACUGUAGAAAAUAAGUGAGCACAAUAUGACCUGUACCUGUGAGGCAGCAGGUACUGAUUACUGACAGAGUGCUGUCAAUCCAAAAAGACACAAGUGGGUGUGCCACCUGUCCCAGUAGGUAAUUUCUCUACCAGGAGACUUCAGAAUACUUCCUCAGAAAUAGCCUACUACUGGCAGAGCUCCAAUCUCAAGAAAGAACACAUCGAAGCACAUUUAUUCAUGGAACUCAAAGGAUUCUAUCUGGAGGCCAGUGAAUUUGAGAAGUUAUAUAACACAGUGGUAAAAGCAUGGACUCUGCUGCUUGACUGUUGGAUUUGAAUUCACCCAGUCCCAUUACUUACUAGGUGUGUAACCUUGGGCAAAUAAUUAAAUCUCUCUGUGUUCAAUUUCUUCACCUCUUAAAAGGUGGUAAUGAUAAUAUCCAACUUCAUACUUUGAGGAUGAAGCAAAUUAGAGCUAAGUGAUUAGACCAAGUGUGUCACAUCAUGAGUAUUACAAAAAUGUUACCUGUUUUUUCUCCUCUUUGGUCAAUGUUUAGCCAUUUUAGAGUAAGUAUUAAAUUCAUACUACACUUGAUUUUAGCCAAUAGGCAAGAAGUGCUAAGUAUUAAUUGAUUUCAUGUUGACUGUACCUUGGUCCAUACAUUUAAUUCAGUGCGUAUACAAUUUCUGAUGAAAAGAUGGCCUUCAUCUUAAAAGGCAAUGCUGUGCCAUGGUGUUUUUAUCAGACACUGAGUUCUUGAAAGUCUGUAAAAUACUAGAAGCUAACUGACAUUCCUGGAGAUUCUUACUCACUAGUAUCUAGAGUGCUGAUUAGGAGUAGAUUUAAAAAAAAAGAUCCUCUGAUAUUCUAUUGUGUCUACUAAAUUUGCAGCUGUUCUAUUUCUAAAUGUCCUGUAGAAGCAUCUCUCACAGCAAGAUCAAGCUCAUAUACCAAGGGCUAGAUCCAGUUAUUUUUUUAUCUCUCCUUAAAAUAAGAGUCUGUGUGUUUUUUCAGUUUAAUUUUGCAGGUCUCUGAUAAAAUAAAUUACUUUCAGAAAACUAAAACAAGGAAAAAGAAAAAAACCCUUGCCUCCCAAAACCUCAGGCUCCUUCAUAUGGAGGGAGAUUCCAAUCAAGGAACUUUGAACAAGUCUCACAGUUAAAUCUUGGGAAACUUCUCCAUCCUUUCUUUUAAUAGCCAUCAGAUGGCAAAUGCUGAGCUUCUCCAAAAACCUGAAGAAAACUUCUUUUCAUCCAGGAUUCCCAAAGUUUCCCUAUUCUUGAGAAGACCCCACACUUUGGGAAAUGAUCCAGGCUUUUGCAUGUGAUCAUGUCUCGAUUGAAAGUGUCAUCCAUCCCAAGGUACCAAGCACUGAAAAUAGAGUGGACUGCAGAGAUGAAAGCCACCAUUCUAGUCUGCAAGUUGUUAAUGGUUUAGUAACAAAAUAAGCCCAUUUUGAACCAGCAAACCCUCUAACAGGGGUAGUCAGACACCCUAUACUGGCAUCAGGUUUGUUCCCCUUGAGGUCAGAGAUCUCAGAAAAAGAAGCAGGCACCCAUCUUUGCUGUUCUGCAGCCUCCCUGAGUGACAUCUCCAGGCGCAGGAGUGAACCAGAUGAAUAGGGCCUGAAGUGAACUAGCAAACCACAGCAGCCCUACAGAAGAGGGGCCUGACGAUUGAAAGAAAAACAAACAGAACGCAACAACAACAGCAUCAUCAACAACAAUAAAGACCCCACAAAAACCCCAUCCAAGGGUUAGCACCCUCAACGUGAGUAAAUAAAUUGUAUGUGAACAAAUUACUAAGUCUUUCAAUGUCUCCACUUCCUUAUUUUAUAGUCAGGCCAAUAGCAAAAUGAAUCUCAUAUAACCUCAGGUGGAAACAUUAAGGUGAUAAAUGGAAGGGACUUUAGCACAGUGUCCUGUUUACAGUCAUCUUGAAACAAAAUUGCUAACUUUUGUUAUGGGUUGGUAUUCUAACAUUAACCAUGGAGAUGUACCUCAUUUAGCUAUUAGUGUUCACUUCUACACUAUAGCACUUAAAAUUAGAAUAAUUAAAACAUCUUCUGAUAACUCUUUUUUCACAUCACAAACUUUGUUGGCACAAUAGAAAUCUUUGUGCUUCAGUGAAAUACCAUCUCACAUGGUUCAGAAGGUCUACUAUUAAACAGUCAAAGAGAAUACAUGCUGGAAAGGCUGCUGAGAAAAGGGAACACUUAUACACUGUUGAUGGGAAUGUGAAUUAGCUCACCCUCUGUGGAAAGCAGGUUGGAGAUUUCUCAAAUAACUUGAAACAGAUCUACCGUUCAACCCAGCAAUGCCUUUAGUGGUUAUGUACCCAGAAGAAAAUAAAUCAUUCUACCAAAAAGACAUAUGCUGUCAUAUUUUCAUCACAGCACUAUUCUCAGUAACAAAGACAUGGAAUAAACCUAGGUGCCCAUCAGUGGUGAGUUGCAUAAAGAAAAUGUGGUACAUAUACACCAUGGAAUAUUAUACACCCAUACAAAGAACAAAAUCUUGUCCUUUGCAGCAACAUGAAUGCAGCUGGAGGCCAUUACCCCAAGCGAAUUAACUCAGGAACAGAAAACCAAAUGCGGCAUGUUCUCACAAGUAGGAGCUAAACAUUCAAUACACAUGGGCAAAGAGGAGAACAAUAACAGUGGAGACAACAAGAAGAGGAAGAGUGGGAGGGGAACAAAAACUGAAAAACAACUGGUUGGGUACUAUGUUACUUGAGUGGCAGGAUCAUUUGUACCCCAAAUCUCAGCAUCAUGCACUAUACCUAUGUAACAAAUUUGCACAUGCGCAUCCUGAAUCUAAUAUAAAAGUUGAAAUUUAAAAAUAAAUUUUUAUGCUAAGCAUUUCACUUCAUUAUGGCUUAAGUAAAUUAGGAGGCAAGGCCAAGAUGGUCAAUCAGAAACAGCUACUUUUGGAGGCUCACAUUGAAAAGAACCAUAAUAAGAAUGUGAAUCCUUCACCAGGAACCAAGGUGUCCAGAUUCUCUCAUCAGAACUGACUAGGAGGCUGGUGAGAUCAUUGGAGAUGAAGGAAGAACAGUGCUGUGUGGCAGCCCACCUGAAAGCCACACAGGGCAGGGGAGCCUUCUCCCCCGAGCCAAGGGAGGCAGUGAGUAAGCAUGCUACCCAGCUGGAGAAAUCAUGCUUUUUCCACGGAACUGUACAACCCACGGAUCGGAAGAUCCCACUCACUAACCUGUGCCAAUGGGGCCUAGCAUCCCAACCCCAGAGCCUUGCAGAUUCUCAACAGCCUCUCAGCUGGAAUCUGCUUAAGCCUACCAAGCUCCCGGGAGGAGGAGUGACCACCACCUACUGUGACUGCCUGCUGUCUAAGCCCUUUGAGCUCCUUGUGGGAGGGGCAGCAGCCAGCACUGGGACUCAAAACUGCCUAACACUCUAAGCUCCUUGGAUAGGGGAAAGGUGGCAUCCAUAUCUAUAGAUCCAAGCUCCACUUUUCCCCUGCUGGAGCCAGGGAGGCUGGACGUCCUGGUUCCAACAGGUGUCCCCCAUAGCCCAACACACCCGCUGUGGCCCACUGCAACCAGAGUGACUCUUCAGGACUGAUCCUGACCCAUCCUUCCUCAUUGGGCGGGGCUUCCCUGCAGGAACUCCGAUAAUUCCAGCCAGAGGUUCAGGGGCAGAACCUGGAUCUCCUUGGCCCUGAACCUCUAGGGGGAAGCAUGGCCACAGCCUCUGCAGACCAGCAGACUUAGCCUUUCCCCAUGGUAGUUCUGAGGAAUCUGGGCAGCUCAGACAAGUGGAAGCACACCCCUUCCACCAAGGAACAGACAAAGCGCUUCCUUAAACGGGUCCUGUUCCCUGUGCCACCCAACUGGGUGAAACCCUCUAACGAGUGGUCAGACACCUAUACAGGAGUGAUCCUACUGGCAUCAGGUUUGUUCCCCUUGAGGUCAGAGAUCUCAGAGGAAGGAGCAGGCACCCAUCUUUGCUGUUCUCCAGCCUCCCUGAGUGACAUCUCCAGGCGCGGGAGUGAACCAGAUGAAUGGGGCCUGCAGUGAACUAGCAAACCACAGCAGCCCUUCAGAAGAGGGACCUGACCAUUGAAAGAAAAACAAACAGAAAGCAACAACAACAGCAUCAUCAACAACAAUAAAGCCCACACAAAAACCCCAUCCAAGGGUUAGCAUCCUCAAAGUCAAAACUAGACAAACUCACGAACAUGAGAAAGAGUCAACUAAAAUAACACUGAAAACCCCAAAAGCCGGAGUGCCUCUUCUCCAGCGUCUCUCCAGCAAGGGCACAGAACUGGAUGGAGGAUGAGGCAGAUGAAUUGAUGGAAGUAGGUUUCAGAAGACGGGUAAUAAAAACUACACUGAGCUAAAAGAGAAUAUUCUAACCAAAUGCAAAGAAGCUAAGAACCUUGAUAAGAGGUUGCAGGAGGUGCCAACUAGAAUAAUCAGUUUAGAGAGGAACAUAAAUGACCUGAUGGAGCUGAAAAACACAGUGUGAGAACUCUGUGAAGCAUACACAAAUAUCAAUAGCUGAAUCAACCAAGUGGAAGAAGGGCUAUCAGAGUCUGAACACCAGCUUGCUGAAAUAAGGCAUGCAGACAAGACUAGAUAAAAAAUAAUAAAAAGGUACGAACAAACCCUCCAAGAAAUAUGGGACUUCAUAAAAAGACCAAACCUACAAUUGACUGGAGUAACUGAAGGAGACAGGGAGAAUGGAAACAAGCUGGAAAACACACUUCAGGAUAUUAUCCAGGAGAACUACCAAAUGGUCUAUUGACCAUUUUUAUGUUUUAAGAAAUGUCUAUUCAUGUCUUUUGCCCACUUUUUUAUUUGUUUACUCUUGAGUUGUUUAAGUUUUUUGUAUAUUCUGGAUACUAGACCCUUGUUGGUUGAAUACUUUGCAAAUAUUUAUUUCAUUCAACAGGUUGUCUACUCCCACUGUUUAUGGUUUCCUUUGCUGUGCAGAAUUUGUUUUAGUUUAACAUAGUCCCAUUUGUCACUUUUUGUUUUUGUAGCAUGUGCUUUUGAGGUCUUAACUAAAAAUCCUUGCCUACCCCAAUGUCAUGAAGUGUUUCUUUCGUGUUUUCUUCUAGUUGUUUUAUAUUUUUAAGUCUGAAGUUAAGUAUUUUAUAUAUCUUAAUUUUUUUUUUUUUAUUUACGGAGUCUUGAUUUAUUGUCGAGGUUGGAGUGCAGUGGUGCAAUCUCGGCUCACUGCAACCUCCGCCUCCUGGGUUUAAGAGAUUUUUCUGCUUCAGCCUCCCUAGUAGCUGGGACUACAGGCAGGCACCACCAUGUCCGGCUAAUUUUUUUGUAUUUUUAGCAGAGACAGGGUUUCACCAUGUUGUUCAGGCUGGUCUUGAACUCCUGACCUCAUGAUCUGCCCACCUUGGCCUCCCAAAGUGCUGGGAUUACAGGCGUGAGCCACCGUGCCCAGCUUAUCUUGAGAUUUUAUAACAUGAUAAGAGCUAGGGUUCCAGUUUCAUUCUUCUGCAAGUGGAUAUCAAAUUUUUAGCACCAUUAUUGAGGAGACUGUCCUUUCCCAAUGUAUGUUGCUAGUGCCUUUGUCAAAAUCAGUUGGCUGUAAAUACAUGAAUUUAUUUCUGUGUUCUCUAUUGUGAUCCACUGGUCUAUGUGUCUGUUUCUAAAGCAAAACCAUGCUAUUUUCAUUACCAUGGCCUUAGAAUAUAUUUUGAUGCAACCAACUUUGCCUUUUCUUGCUCAGGGUUGUUUUAGCUAAGAUCCUUGUUAGUUCCAUAUAUAUUUCAGGCUAUUUUUUCUAUAUCAAUGAAAAAUGGUAUUGUUAUUUUGAUAGGGUUUGCAGUGAAUCUUUUAAUUGCUUUAACCACUAUCAUCAUUCUAACAUUAAUUCUUCUGAUCCAUGUGCAUGGGACAUCUUUCCAUUUGCUUAUGUCCCCUUCGAUUUCUCUCAUCAUUGUUUUGUAGUUUUCCCUGUAGAGAGGUCUUUUAUCUCUUUUGUCUAAUCCAUUUCUAGGUAUCUUUUUUGUAGUUCUUAUAAAUGGUAUUGGUUUUUUGACUUUUUAUCAGCUCAUUCAUUAUGGGUGUUUAAAAAAGCUACUGCUUUUUGCAUGUUGAUUUUAUAUUCCAUAUGUUUAAUGGAUAUUCUGUAUCUGAAUGUAUUUAUUGGACCUAAACAUUUUUGAUGAAGUCUUUUCAUUUUUCUAGAUUUAAAAUCAUGUCUCCUGCAAAGAGGGAUAUUUUGCUUUCCUUUAUACCAGUUUGGAUGCUAUUUCUUUUUUUCUUUUAACUCCUUGCUCUGGCUGGGACUUCUAAAUACAGUGUUGAAUAAAAGUGGUGGCAGCCGGCAUCCUUGUCUUAGUCCAUUUUUGGGGGGAAAGGGUGAUGAAGGUUUGUCACGUAUGUCCUUUAUUAUGUUGAGGUAUGUUUCUUUAAUACCUAGUUUGUUGAGACAUUUUAUCAUAUAGCACUGUGGAAUUGUAUCAAGUACUUUAUUGCAACUAUUGAGAUGAGAAUAAGGGUUUGUCCUUCAUUCUGUUGAUGUGAUGUAUCAUGUUUAUUGAUUUGCUUAUGUGGAAUCAUCCUUACAUCCCUGGGUUAAAUCCCACUUGAUAUGGUGUAUUAUCUUUUUGAUGUGAAGUCGGAUUCGAUUUGCCAGUAUUUUGUUGAAGUUAUUUGCAUCAAUGUCCAUCAAGGAUAUUGGUCUGUAUUAUGUUGUUAUUAUUGUUGUUGCAUCCUUGUCUGGUUUUGGCAUCAGAGAAAUGCUGACCUCAUAGAAUGAAUUAGGGAAAAUUCCCUCCUCUUCGAGUUUCUUGAAUAGUUUGAGAAGAAUUGGUGUUUGUUCAUUUUUGAAAGUCUGAUACACUUUGGCAUUGAAGCCUUUCUCUUCUGGACUUUUCUUUGUUUGGAAAUGGUUACUGCUUCAAUCUCAUUACUCAUUUUUGAUCUCUUCUGACUUUCUAUUUCUUCCUGAUUCAACUUUGAUAGGUUACACAUGUCCAGGAAUUUAUCCAUAUCCUCUAGUUUCUGUUAAGCUUGUAAACAUCUAGUUGUUAAUAGGAGUCUCUGUUUAUCUUUUGUAAGUCUGUGGUAUCACUUGUAAUAUUUUCUUUUUCAUUAAUAAUUUUGUUUAUUUGGGUCUUCUCUCUUCCUUGCUUGGUUAGCCAAGCUGGCAGCAUAUUCAUUCUGUUUAUCUCUCUGUAGAAUUGACUUUUCGUUUCAUUGAUCCUUUAUAUUUUUUUCUUUAGUCUCUAUUUCCUUUAGUUCUGGCCCAAUUUUUAUUAUUUCUUUUCUUCUGAGAAUUUUUGAUUUUUUUCUUGCUUUUCUUGUUCCUUGAGGUAUAUUGUUAGACUGUUUACUUAAAAUUUCUCUAAUAUUUUGAUGUAGGCAUUUAUUGUUAUAAACUUUCCUCUUAGCACUGCUUUUGUUGUAUCCCACGUGUUGUAAUGUGCGUUUGUCUAUAUUUAUUGGUUUCAAAGAAUUGUUUUAAUUUUUAUCUUAUUGUCUUCAUUGACCCAAUAGUUGUUCAGAAGCAUGUAGUUUAAUUUCCAUGCAUUUUUAUAGUUUCCAAAGUUCUUUUUAUUAUUGAUUUCUAGUUUUAUAGUCUGAUGAGAUAAUUUUCAUGAGAUAUGGUUUCAAUUUUUCUUAUUUGAUGAGACUUUUUUUGUGACUCAACAUAUGGUCUAUCCUGGAGAAUGUUUUAUGUGCUGAUGAGAAGAAUGUAUAUUCUGUAGCUGUUGGACAGAAUGUUCUGUAAAUCUCUGUUUGGUUCAUUUGGUCUAAUGUACAGUUCAAAAACAGUGUUUCUUUGCUACUUCUCUGUCUAGAUAAUCUGUCUCAUACUGUAAGUGGGAUGUUGAAGUACCCAACUAUUAUAGUACUGAAGUCUCUUUCCCUUUAGGUCUAAUAUUUGCUUUAUAUAUCUGGAUGCUUCAAUGUUGGAUGCAUAUGUGUUUAUAAUUGUUGUAUUAUCUUGCUGAAUUGAUUCCUUUUUCAUUUUAUAAUGACGUUUUUACCACUUUUUACAGUUUUUGACUUAAAGCCUAUUUUAUCUUAUAUAAGUACCACUUCUCACUUUUUUUCCAUUUGCAUGAAAUGUAUUUUCCAUCUCUUUCUUUUUAGUCUAUAUCUAUUUUAAUAAAGGAGAUGAGUUUCUUGUAGGCAUGUAGUUGGGUCAUGAUUUAAAGUUCAUUCAUUUAAAUCAUUGUGUUGAUUGAUUUCUGGUUAUUUUGUAUGUCUUUUGUUUCUUUCUCUCUUAUUUAUCGUUGUGGUUUUGUGGAUUUGCAGUAACACUUGACUCCUUGUGGUAUUGUGGAUUUGUGGUAACAUUCGAGUUCUUCUUUAUUUGUGUGUUACCUCUACUAGUGGGUUUUAUAUUUUCUUGCAUUGUUAUGAUGGUAAAUAUGGUCCUUUGUCUGCCAGGUAUAGUACUACAGCAUUUCUUGUAGGCCCAGUUUAGUGGUGAUGAAUUCCUUCAGUUUUCACUUCUCUGGCAAAUACUUUAUUUCCCCUUCAUUUUUGAUGAAUAACUUCACUGGAUAUAGUAUUCUUGGUUAGCAGUUAUUUUUGCUUUUAAUAUUUGGAAUAUAUCAUCUCAUCUGGCCUGCAAGGUUUCUACUGAGAAAUUCACUGUUAAUUUGCAGAGAAUUCAUUUAUAUUUGACUAGAUACUUUACUUUUUGUUGCUCUUUUUAUAAUUCUCUUUGUCUUUGACUCCGGCAGUUUGACAAUAAUGUCCCAUGUAGAAGACCUUUCUGCACUGUAUCCAUUUUGUUUAUCUCUUAGGUUCCUGUAUCUGGAUGUCUAAAUCUCUUACUAGACUUGGGAGAUUUUUCAACAAUUAUUUUGUCAGUUUUUUAAUCCCUUAAUUUUCCUUUCAUCUUCUGGAACAUCAAAAAUUCAAGUAUUUGGUCACUUUAUGGUGUCCCAUAUGUCAUGUAGGAUUUCUUUAUUUUUUUUUAUUAUUUAGUCUUUUCUUCUGUCUGAUUUGAUUAUUUCAAAAGACUUGUUUUCAAGUCCUGAAAUUUUUUCUUCUGCUUAAUCUAGUCUAUUUUCGAAGCUCUUGAAUGCAUUUUAUUAAAUGAAGGCUUUAGUUACAGAAUUUCUAUUUGUUUCUUGUUUAGGAUAUAGAUAUCUUAGGUACAUUUCUUAUUUAUGCCCUGAAUUGUUUUCUGAUAUCUUUGUAUUGUUUUUUUCUGUAUUCUCUUAUACCUCACUGGGCUUUUUCAAUAUCAAUAUUGUAAAUUAGUAAUCCAGAACUUUAUAAGUCUAUUUUUGAUUGAAAUCUGUUGCUGAAUAAUUACUGUGUCCCUUUGGAGAUGUCAUAUUUCUUUGCUGUUUUGUGUUUUUCAUGUCCUUAUUUUGGUAUCAGUGCUUCUGGCAUAAUAGUCACUUCUUUCAAUUUUUUGAUUUUUUUUCAUAAGGAACAACUUUUUCCUGAAGGUGUAUUUAUGAUGUUGGUUGGGUACGCCACUUUGGCUUUGAUUCUGCAUGUGUGCAGUAGUGCAGACUUCAUUCGAUUUCUUCAUCAUAAACAGUGUCAAUGGUGUCUAUGAUUUUCUCAGUUGCUUAGGGUAAGUUGUUAAUAGAACCUGUAGUGAAGUUUGCUAGGGAUGAGGAUGCCCAGUGGGCUGGCUUUGGGGACUCAGUGGUGAUAGCGGCAGGCAAAGCAUGCCUGUCCUUUGGUUUCAGGUUAUACACUAACACUCGUUUUAGUGUGUCCAGGUGGGCCAAUUAUUAUGCUCCCAGGUGGCUUGCUCAGGUGUCAGAAGUGGCAACAGUGGGAUGGGUUGCUGCAAGGGUCAUUGGGCUUUUGGGCAGACGGUAUGGUGUGUGCAAUGGCAAUAGCACCAGCAUGACUAACCUCUUGGUUUCAAAAGUCUGUAGUGGUGUUGGGUGUGGCUGUAACAGGCUGGGUGGGACAGUCCCCAGGCCAUGCAGGUGGGUUUCCACUGUGAUGGUAGAGGCAGGUUGGGUAAGCCUAACACCAAGCUCCCAGGAGGAGUGCACUGGUGCCGAUGUUGGUGGACUAAGCUAGGCAGUCCCUAGCCUCCUAGACAGCAUGGUUGGGCACUAGGAGGAUGGAACUGGGCUGGGCCGACCUGUCCUUAGGCUCCAUGGUGGUGCAUUUAGGAGUUGGCUGUAGUGGCCAAAGGAGAGGUGAUCACCAGGCCCAUAGUGGAAUGCUUAUGCAGGGUCAGCAGCAGCCUGAGAGCAGCUCUGCUACUGGGAAGGCAGGGGUUGCUUUCAGUGGCAGCUGCUGUGUGCAGGUAGCUGGGGAGGCAUGCACUUUGUUUGCACUUCAACCAGGGCUGUGGCAGCACACCCUGGCAAGUUGCUGCAAGAAGGGGAGUUUGUCCUUGGGGCCUAGAACAUUUCUUAAAUGACUGCUUUGUGUUAAACUAUACAUACCUGUACUGUCCAAUACAGUAGCCAUUAGUCUCAUGCAACUACUGAACACUUGAAAUAUGAAAAGCCAGAUUGAGAUGUGUUGUUAUUGUGAUAUACACAGCUGAUUGCAAAGACUUCAGUAUGAAAAAUGUAAAACAACUCAUAAAUAAUAUGUAUAUAGGUCACAUGUCAAAGUAAUUUUUUGUAUAUAUUGGGUUACAGAAAAUAUGUUAUAUGUAUUUCACUUUUUAAAAACUUUUCCACGUGUCUACUAGACAAUUUAAAAUUGUAUAAGAGACUUACACUAUAUUAAUAUUAGACAAAGCUGAGACACAGAUAUCAAAAUUCAUAUACUUUGCUUUCAAAAAGUGACAACUCUUUCUAAUUUCUAAUGCUUUGCCCACAUGACCUCAAUACUGAAAGCUCACAACUGCCUAAUUAUAGAGUACUUAGUGUAUAUUUAUUUUUAUUUUACAAACUAGUUAGGUGAGGCUCAAAAUGGUUAAUUUUUUUCAGUGUUUUACAGCUGUAAACAUGGGAGAACUUUAAACCUUGACCCAGGGAGCAGUCAAAGGCGUUGUUUUCCUCCUUGUGUCUCUAGAAAGGGCAUAACCUAAGAUUAAAAAUAACCAAAAUACAAGGCAAAAGAUUUUGGCACAGAGUAAGUUCAAGACUGCUUCCUGGAGAAAGUUUUAGCACUACCUACAGUCCACUGUAUGCAGAAUUGAAAGGCUAUUUGGGCAAUGAUACAAAUCUGUUGCUUCAUAUUUUUAAACUAAAAGUCAACUUGUUAUCUGCAUAUCUGGUUUUUGAUAAUAUCCUUAUGCCUAGGCACAGUGGCUCAUGCCUAUAAUCUCAGCACUUUGGAAGACCAAGAUGAAAGUGUGGUUUGAGCCCAGCCUGGGCAACAUAGUGAGACACUGUCUCUGCAAAAAAUAAAAAUUAGCUGGGCAUGGUGGCAUGCAUCUGUCAUCUCAGCUAUUCAGGAGGAAGGAUAGCUUAAGCCUGGGAGGUCAAGGCUUCAGUGAGCUGUGAUCCUACCACUGCACUCCAGCCUGGGCAACAGAGUGUGAUCCCGUCUCAAAAUAAUAUCAUUAAUAAUAAUAGCUAUGCAUACUUGGCACCAAAAUCUCACUGUUGAGCCAUCUUCUGUUUCAUGUUCAUCAAAAGCUGUGCUGAGUUAAGAGUACGAUACACUAUACUUCAACUCUUUUAGAAUCUCAAAGCUAAGACUUUGCAUCACAUAAGGCCACAACAAUGCUGCAUACUUUCAUUCUGAACUUUAACUGUCCCUUGGAAAAGUUUUCAACAUUUAGAAAUAUGUUCUUGGCUUUUGUCAUAAGCACAUAGAAUAAAUAGCCAAAAUACAUAUUUUUACCAUACUUUAAAAAAAAUGAGAGUACAUUAAGUUUAAAUACACAGUUUAUGAGUUUGGCCAAAGCCUAUAACAAUGUAAUCAACAAUCUAGUAAAAAUAUGAAACUUUUGGCUGAGCACAGUGGCUCACACUCGUAAUCCCAAUACUUUGGGAGGCUGAGGUGAGCAGAUCAUGAGGUGAGGAGUUCGAGACCAGCCUGGCCAACACUAUGAAACCCCAUCUCUACCAAAAAUAAAAAAUUAGCUGGUCAUGGUGGCGGGUGCCUAUAAUCCCAGCUACUCGGGAGGCUGAGGAAGGAGAAUUGCUUGAACCCAGGAGGCAGAGGUUACAGUGAGCCAAGAUUGCGCCACUGCACUCCAGCCUGGGUGACAAGAGCAAAACUCUGUCUCAAAAAAGAAAAAAAAAAUCCACAAGAUAUGAAACUUUUACAUUAUCUCCAGAAACGUUCAGUGAAUCCUUACACCUUUAGACAACAUUGUUAUUAGUCAUUUUGUCUGUAGUUAUUUUUUAUGUGAAUGGAUUAAUAAAGUUUGUAUUCUUUUGAGUGUACCUCUUUGUUCAUUAUGAUAUUUCAUGAGAUUAAUUUAUGUUUUGUUUGGAAUUCUAAGCAACAGUCCAUUGAAUGAGUAUAACACAAUUUGUUUAACAAUUCUCCUGCUGUAGGAUAUUUGAGUUGUUUGAGGUUUGGGACUAUUAUUAAUAACGUGUUAAGAGAGUAUAUCCUGUAUCAGUCAUUUAUUUGUGGCCAAAAUUAAAAGUUCCCUGCUUUUACAUUUUAUAGCUGUUCAUAUAUGUUAUUCAUUAUGUGGUUCCAUUUCCCUUAUGCACAGACGUAAAAUAUAAUUUCUGUUAAGAGUUAAGUUAUAAAAUUUUUGAUAUAAUAAUUACCUCCAAACCUACCUUCUAAUAUUAUAUUUUUCAUGAUUCUUUUCAUUUUGGAACAACUGUUUCAAAUAUUUUUGUAUAUAUGUGUGAUUUGCAAAAAUAAGAGAGUAAACAAUGAAACUUAGCUGAAAUGUGCUUAGUGCAAUAUAAGAACUACUUAUAAAGGGCUAUCCCUUGUAAAAGGUCGCUUUCAGUUUCAUGUAAAAUAAGAAGGUAUUUUGGCUUGAAAGGAUUAUAAAAAUAUAAAAAGCUCAACAUUUUCUUUUUUAUAGAAUAUAUAAACAUUUUUGUCACUGACUUUUUUUAAUGUCAAAAUAAAUAGUUUCUCUAACUUCUUUCCUUCAAUCUCUCAUUAUAGAGUAUAAGAUGUUUUAAGAGUAUUUACUCCUAUUUAUACCAUCUAAAUUUACUCCUGCUUAUACCACGGAUGUUUUAAACUAUGUCUAUGCACCUGUGAGUAUAUUUUUAAACUGAUGAUAGGACAGGUAUUACUUUCCCAGGGCCGCAAUAAAAAAUUUCUGUAAACUUGGUGGCUUAAAACAAUGUAAAUGUGUUCUCUUAAAGUUCUGAAUGUCAGAAGUCCACAAUCAAGGUUUCUGCAGGUACACUCUCUCUCUUUCUAAAGACCUGUUUUUUUUUGUCUGUUUGUUUUUUGUUGUGUUUUUGUUUUUUCUUUAUUGUUGUUGUUGUUGUUCUUCCAGCUUCUGGUGGCUCCAGGCAUUCCUUAGCUUGUGGCUGCAGAACCCCAAGCUUUGCCUCCAUUUUCUUCAGUCCCCCAGAGCAUGCCUGCAAAACUCUGCCCCCAACUUCACAUGAACUUUUCACCUGUGUGUCUCUCCUCUUUGUGUUUAUUAUAAGGAUCUUUGUCAUUAGACUUAAGACCCACUCAGAUAAUCUAGGUUGAUCUCAUCUCAAAAUCCUUAACUUACAUCUGCAAAGAUUGUUUUCCAAAUACAAUCACAUUCACAGGUUUUCGGAUUUAGGCUGUGGGCAAAUCUUUUCUGGCAGCCACCAUUCAACCCUCUACAGAACCCCACACAUGAAUAUCCUGAAUUGUAAUUUCCAGGAAAAAGCCCUGACAAUACAUUGUAUAGUGACCAAUUAUCACCUGGCAGAAAAGUGAAAAAGAAAGGCCUAGUACACCCACAUUUCUAUUAGCAGCUUGACUUAGAAGUUGCUAAUAUCAAUUCUGAUCACAUUUCAUUGCCCGGGUCUUAGUGGUAGGAGUGUCUUAUACUCGGAAAGGGGCUGAGAAGUACCGUCUCUCACUGGGGGGGUGUCGAUAUGCCCAAGGAUCUACUACUGACAGAAAGGAGAUAAUUGAUAGAGGUUCAUAAUUAGUGAUCUCUACCACAACAUACUUGCCUACUUAUUUUUACAAAAGAAGAUACCAUAGCUUUUCAACCUGGUAUCUAUUCUCAAAUUCUUCACUUAAUCUGCUAUAACUAUAACCAAAUUGGUGUAUCCUCUAAACUUCCAGUUCUUUUAAAUAUGCAAGAUGAAUAUAUUUCACCCAAGUGUGUUAAUAUUUAUGAGCUAUUGGAGGCGUUAAGAAUUAUGAUGUAUUGUGAAGGUUGUCAGAAUCAAAAUGGAAUUAAAACAAUGUUAAAACAAAACAAAUCUUAGCUAAACUAAUGAUAAUCAAACAAAGAAAUCCCAAAACCCAACAAAUAGAGCCAGAGGACCAUGAAGAGAGUUUUCAUGCUAGUAUGGCUGAAAAAAAAAAAUCACAAAAGAUGGCAAAAACCACCACCUUGCACAAAAGCCGUCACAAUCUUACACAUAAAAAUAUUCUGAAGAUAUCUUAGCAACUGCCUGUCCAACCUCAGAUUGGUGUCAUUCUUGUAUUAAUCUUUUCAGACAAGGAUAAUCAUUUCAAAAUAAUUAGGUAAAACUCAUUUUUCCUUUAAAACUUUGUGUUUCUUCACCUCCCUUAAUAUGCAUAUAGUUUAUUAUUGCAUGCCUAUUCCUAUUGCAAUGUUCUGUUCCCAAAUAUAUAUAUUUUUAAUUUUAGAGAGCUUGCUCUGUUAUUUAGCCUGACAGUAUAAAGAUGCACUGUGAACUAUAAAGUUCUAACUUAAAUUAAAAUAAGAUAUUAUUUGAAUAUAGUAAAGGGAAACUAUAUCCUUUAAAUACCAUCAUUCUAAAGCUGUCACAAUUACGGUUAGGGCAUUCAAAAAUGAUGUAAAUGUUAUAUUCAUAAAUUGUCAAAAAGAUAAUUCAAAAUAGAAAUUAUUUAAAAAAUUUAAAGUACUACAACAAUAUUUAUAUCACAAUUUAGCAUUGUGAUUUAUGCAUAUAAUCACAUGCACAUACAAACACUUAGAUACACAUGUAUAUUUUUCAUGUAACAUUGAAUAAAUUGUUUAAGACAACCCUUCCAUUUUCCACAUGAAGAAUACUGGGGUUCAGAGAUACUAUGUAACUUGACCAGGGUAAUUUAGCUGGUCAGGAACAGAAUGGAUACUAUACAGUAAUCCUCCCUGAUAUGCAGUUUUCACUUUUUGCAGUUUCAGUUACCUGCAGUCAGCCUACGUCCAGAAAUAUUCAAUGGAAACUUCCAGAAAUAAACAAUAACUUUAAAAUUGCAGGAUGAGUAGCGUAAUAAAAUCUGACACCCUCCCUCUCCGUCAUAUUUGGGACUUGAAUUAUCCCUUUGUCUGGUGUAUCCAUGCAAUAUACACUACCUGCCUGUUGGUCACUUAGUAGCUGUCUUGGGUAUCAGAAAGAUUGUCACAAUAUCACAGUGCUUGUGUUCAAGCAGCCCGUGUUUUACUUAAUAAUGGCCACAAAAUGCAAAAGUAGUGAUGCUAGCAAUUUGGAUAUGCCAAAGAAAAGCCAUAAAAUGCUUCCUAUAAGUGAAAGGCGAAAGUUCCCAACUUAAUGAGGGAAGGAAAAAAAAUCAUAUGCUGAGGUUGCUGAGACCCAAAGAGAUAAUAAAUCUUCUAUCAGUGAAAUUGUGAAGAAGGAGAAAAAAUGUGCUAGUUUUGCUGUCACACCUGAAACUUAAAAUGUUACAGCCACGGUGCAUGGUAAGUAAUUAGGUAAGAUGGAAAAGUCAUUAAAUUUGUGGGUGGGAGACAUGAACAGAAACAUAUUUCAAAUGACAGCAAUUGGGUUUGGUACUAUCUGCAGUUUCAGGCACCCACUGGCCUCCUUGGGAGGUAUCCCCUGCAAAUAAAAAGAACUUCUACAAUCUGUAUUUCAUUCUAAUGCCAAAGAUAAAGCUAAAACAUUUAUUUGCACUUUAUAAUGAUGGAGCAAAAUAUUAUUGUAUUAAUGAAUCUUAGAUUUUAUUAAAAUAAGAGUAAGAUUACUACAAUGACUUUAAUUCUAAACAUUGCCUCUUUGCUUUGAAGCAAAGAUAUUGAAAUCUUCAGUUAAAUUUAGGCAAUUAUGUAGGGUAAAAAAGCAUGUAUUUUACUAUGUACCAGCUUAAUUCAUAAUAAUAAGAUUUUCUAAUAAAGUACAUCAUAUAGAAUUCCUAGCCUAGUGAUAGGAAAUGUAUAAUUUUAUUAAUUUUGUUAACUUUGCUAAAUAUGAGAUGCCUAAAAUUGGAACCAUAUCUUCAUAUGUUGCCAUUGAAAUUGAAAAUAAAUUUGAUCCCUGAUGAAAUAUUCACAUUUUGUUCAGUUCAAUGGAAAUUAAUAUUGAUUCAUCAUCUUUAGUACACUGGAGACCACAUUAAAGUGUCAAACUACUAGCUUGUCAUCUUCAUUGACAAUUAAAUUUCCUUUAAAACAGAGAUGUGGGAAAUUGAAUUUGUUCCUUGUAAAUGGAAAAAAAAAAGAUUGAAUUGCAUACUGAUUCCCAGAAUGAUUGAAUCCUUUCUGGAUGAAACAGCAUUAAAUAAGAUUAUGAACAGGAGAGACUAUUUUCUUUCUUUGAUAAUGUUAAUGGAUUGGAUUUCAGAGUGAUUGACAGAAGUUAAAGUUACUCCAUUGGUUGGAAAACUAAAUGGUGGAGACCUUAUAGAAAAUUAACAAUUUGUUAAAAUGCCUAGAUUUGUACAGAGUCUUCUCCAACUUCUGGUUUUAUAGCAGCAGAAAACCAUACUAAACUCAAUUCUUCAACCCUAGGUUGUACAUUUGGACAGAGGAGAAUAAUAUGCCAUUGAGAAGGUUUCUGAAUAUUGCUUGCCCUUCCUCCUAAAUCUGUAAAAGUAAUGAGCAGUUCAUACCUGUAAUAUGGUAUUUCUGACUCAGUAAGCGCUUAAGGAUGUUAUAAGCAUUCUUUGAAUCCUGGGAAAUAUAAACAUCAAGCUGGUCUUAUCUGGAACCACUGAGUUCUUAAAUGUGUUUGGCAAAUAUAUAUGGUAAAUAGAUGGGUAUAAUAAAAAAAGAGGAUGACAAAAAAAUUAAAUCAUUUUUAUGAAAUGUCUGUAUAUGACCAAGAAAAAAAAAUCAAGCUUGGAUCACUUUUGUGGAGACCAUCACAAUGCAGCACAAAAGCAUUGAUUUGUAGUUUUCAGCAAAGUGGCUUUGACAUAAAAUUGUGAAAUAGACACUCUUCACCUCCCUUGAUAAUCCUUCACUAUUUUAUUAUGAGUCCAAUAAACUAACACUCUUUCUCCACAUAUACUUUUAAAAUGUUUUUUAGUCAUUUUGCUCCUAUUGGCAUGUAACUAAUAACAGCUUUAAAUUACACAGGAAGAUUCAUUUAUACUCUGACACUCGAGGCCCCAUGAUUAAUUCAAUGUUAAGAUACCUAGCAUUAUGUGUACCACAAUAUUCCCUACCCUACUGUAUAAAUUCACAAAUCUUCUCUGAUAGAAAAGACUUAUGCACUGAUAUUCGCUAUCCUAUAACACUCAAAUGUUUAGCAAAUAAACUUUUGUCUAAUAUUUUCUUUAAAAAUGUGUGCCAAUCUCAUUUUUUCUUUUUGCAAACUCUUCAAAUUAUAUUGUGUAAUAUAUUUUUCUUAAAUCAUUUUCCCCUCUACUCUUCAGAUUUGAUAACUUACAUUGAUCUGUCAUCCAAAACAUUGACAUUCCUCCAACUGAGUAAAGUCCAUCUACUUCAGUUUUAAAAUUUUAUUCUUAUUUUUAAAAUUUCUAUUGUAAACACUUUAUUGUAUAAAUUUUAUGUGAUUUGACAUAUAUGUCAUAUAUAUGUCAAUAAUUUGUGUAUCUACAUAUACACAAAUUAUUACUGCAGGUAAGAAAUUCAACAUAUUUGUUACUUUCCAUCAUUACCUUUUUGUUGUUGUUGUAAGAGCACCUAAAGUCUACAUCCUUGGCAUAUUUUUUACUAUACAAUGCGAUAUUAUUAACUGUAGUAUUCUUGCUGUACAUUAGAUCUCUAGACUACGUAAUUUAAAGUUAGUGCUCUUUUAUCUAAUCUUUCCAUUUCCUCUCAUUCCCCACCUCUGAUAAACACCAUUCUACUCUCUGUGUUUUUGUAUUUGACUUUUUUUUUUCAGGAUUCCACAUGUAAGUGAGAUCAUGAUUUUUUUUUCCUGUGUCUGGCUUAUGUCACUUAGCAUGACAUCCUCCACGUUUAUUCAUGUUGUUGCAAAUGACAAUUUCUACUUCUUUUUUAAGACUGAAUAAUAUUCUAUCAUAUAGAGUAUAAAAUCUAAAAUUCAUUUUUUCACUUAAUUCUUAGAACACUUUUACAUUUAUAGAAAAUUUACAAACAUAAUACCAAAGAGUCUCAUAUGCCCUGCACCCAGUUCCCCAUAAUGUGAACAUCUUACAUUAGUUUGACAGAUUUGUCACAAUUAACAAACAAAUAUUAAUACUCAAGUAUUAACUAAAUUCCAUAUUUGAUUAAGAUAUUCUCAGUUUUUACCUAAUGUUGUUUGUUGUUGUUUUCAUUCUAGGAUCUCACCAAAGUUCUUGCAUUGCAUUUAGUCAUUAUAUCUGCUCUUGGUUGUGACAGUUUCUUAGAUCUCCCUGUUUUUGAUGACCUUGACAGUUCUGAGUGAUACUAUUUGAAUACUUUGUAGAAUGUCCCUCAAUUAUUAUUUGUCUGAUAUUUUGUCAUGUUUAUAUUGGAUUUAUGUUUGUUUUUUGGUUGGAAGACCAUAGAAGUAAGGUCAAUUUUUUUCAUAUUAUAACAAAGUAAAUGCUAUAUACAUGAUUAAUGGCUAUUGAUGUUGACCUUGAUUGCCACGCUAAGGUAGUGUUUGUCAGGUACCUCCAGUGUAAAAUUACUCUUUUUCCUCGCUGUCUAUACUGUACUCUGUGGAAGGAGGCUACUAUGUGCAACUCAAACACAAAUAUACACACACACAUUAGUUUGUUUAAUUUUCUGAUUAUUGACCAUUGGAGAGCUAGCCUGGUACCCAAUGGAAAAGAUAUUCUCCUAGAAAAUGAGUUGAAACCAUUUUUUUGUAUUUACAAAAUAAUUAUUAUAAAUAGCUUCUACAUUCACGAGUGUGCUUGAAAAUUGUUCUGUAUAAUCUUAUUCUUCCAUUUUCCUUUCAUGUAAAAUGAAACUUUUGUCAGAGAGUAUGAAAAUUACCUAAUGACAUAUUUUUCUCCUAUUUCUGUAGACUUCUUAAAUAUUUCUAGAUUAUUUCCAUUGUUAUUUCUGGACAUAUAUUCAGAUAAGGAUCACACAGUGGUUGUUGUCAAUGGUUUGUAUAUAAUCGUAUAACAUCUUCUGUAAAACACAAUCAGAAUCUUUAAGCAUAAUCUAUUAAAAAGAAAACAACUAAAAGUAAACAAAAGAAAAAAUUAUUUCCUCUUUUUUCCACAUAACUUUUCUUUCAAGAUUCUCAAGAUUCUAAGCUGAAUAUGUCCGAAUGAAAUUACACUGACUUCCUUCUGUAUCUAUUUUAUAACUUCAUGCAUCUUGAAAUGCAUUUUUAUGUUCAUUAUUGAAUUCAUAUCCGUGAAUUUUAUCUACCAAAUAUUUUAUAGAACUGAGGAAGCAUAAUUUUAAUGCUGAUAUGUGAAGUAGUUAUCAUUAACAAUAUUUUUAAUAAUGUGUUUUUAAGGUAUUCCAGUCUUCUGGCAGGAUGCAAUCUUUAAUCCUUUGUCCUCCAUGAACUUCCUCCUCAGUAAGCUUCUCUUACUUGUUAAAUUCCUAUUAGGAUGUCUACAUGGAUUCUUACAGAAUGUUUUAAUCACAUCAUUAAUUAAACAUCUAGACAUUGAUUUUACUCACUGUUUGAUCUUUUACAGAUCAGAACUAAUUUAAAAAAUUAUUUCUAGAGCUACUGCAUUGCUGUCUAGUGGAAUAGAUUUUAUUGCAGAUGGUCUAGAGACUUGACUGAUAGAUACAAUCUGCCAGCAUUGGCUCUUGAAGAUAAGUGGUAAGGAAAUAAUUGCCUUCCUCCUUUAACUCUACCUCAUUCACUAGCAAUUCCUUAUCCUGUAUGAGAUGACUUUACUUCCAGCUGACCUUGAGUGUAUGGAAAAUUUGAGAACUGCCUAGACAUGGCACAAAUGCAGAAUACAUGUAACCAAUUAGUAGGAAACAAAUAUUAAAAUAUAAACAGGUAGGUGUUUAAAUUAAAAAAAACAGAGAAAAUCCCAAGAAAUUUUUAUAAAUUAGAGUGAAAAAAUUACCAAAAAAUUUUUAAUUUAUCUCUUAUCCAUUUGACAUUAUCUAAGAAAGUUUGAAGGAUUUUAAAGAGGCAAGUAAUGGGAUUAAAUCUUCACUUGGGUAUGUCAGACACAUCAGCCACCCAAAUGUCAGGAGUGACAUUCCUAAGGUGAGAUCAUUGUAUUUGUCUGUGGUAAUUGUGCCCUUUAUUCCUUCUCUUAUUUCUCUCCACAAUCCUUUCUUGCCAAAGCUGCUUUUAUCCCCAGGGCCAUGUCUUCAGUGUUCCUUCCCUCAUUUUAUAAGGAGAGGGUUUAGAAGAUGGAUCCUAGGUUCAGAUGAGGAUUAAUAAUUGUGUUAUUUUAGCAUUCAUUGAGAAGAUGUAUUUGAAAACCUCUUCCAACAGUGAUAUUUCAUUCAUUUAUUACUUGAAUAGUUUCAGAUAAAUAAUAUCUGAUAGAGAAACUUUUGGUAGUUUCCUUUUUUUUUUUUUUUGAGAUGGAGUCUCACUCUGUCACCCAGGCUAGAGUGCAGUGGCGUAAUCUCAGCUCACUGCAACCUCUCCUGGGUUCAAGUGAUUCUCCUGCCUCAGUCUCCUGAGUAUCUGGGAAUACAGGCGCGCACCACCACACCCAGCUAAUUUUUGUAUUGUUAGUAGAGACGGGGUUUUACCAUGUUGGCCAGGCUGGUCUUGACCUCCUGACCUCAGGUGAUCCACCCGCCUUGGCCUCCCAAAGUGCUGGGAUUACAGGUGUGAGCCACCGCACCCAGACUACUUUUGGUGCUUUCUAAUGAUACUAAAAGUAUAAAGAAAAUUUUCUUGGAAGUAUGGAAAUCACUGGACUUCUAGACAGCUUUUCUAGACAAGGAGAAGAGUUUGGGGGAUGACAAAUAAUAGAAAUUAACUUGUGCAACUCUUAUUUAGGAAUAUAAUAAUGAGAGAUUAAAUAAUAGAAAAUAUGCAUAUGCUUAAUUCAUAGUUACCAUCCAUACUUGAUUAGCCAUUUGUCAUAUCCAUAAUUUGAAUUUUAGUUGCUCACAUAUUUGAUGAUCACAAUGAAGCUUGAUAUUUUGCAAUAAAAAUAAUAAAAUUUGGGAUUUAAGAUUGUUCAGCUCAGUACGUUUCUUGUGGUCCCCUUUUAUUCUCCUGAAACUGAGAGAAUAAAAAGGGAGAACAAAUAAACUUUUUAAAAUCCUUUUUAAAAAUUUCAACUUUUAUUUUAGAUUCAGGUUUGUUACAUGGGUAUAUUGGGUGAUGCUGAGGUUUGGCCAGGUAAUGAGCAUAGAAUCUAGUAGUUAGUUUUCCAGCCCGCUACCCUACUUCUCCCAGUAGUCUCCAGUAUUUAUUGUUCUUGUCUACAUGCCAACGUUUGGCUCCCACUUAUGAGUGAGAACACAUGGUGUUUGUUUUUCUGUUCCUGUGCUAAUUUUCCUGGGAUAAUGGUCUCCAGCUGCAUCCAUGUUGCUGCAAAGAACAUGAUUUUUUUUAUGGCUGCAUAGUAUUCCAUGGUAUACAUACACCUAAUUUUCUUUACCCAAUCCACCAUUAAUGGGCACCUAACUUGAUUCCAUGUCUUUGUGUUUGUGAAUAGUGCUUCAAUGAGCAUACUAGGGCAUGUCUUUCUUUGGUGGAAUAAUUUAUUUUCCUUUGGAUAUAUAACCAGUAAAAGAAUUGCUGGGUUGAAUGGUGGUACCCUUUUAAGUUCUUUGAGAAAUCUCCAAAAUACUUUUCACAGAGGCUGAACUAAUUUACAUUCCCAGCAACCUUGUAUAAGUGCUCCCUUUUCUCCACAGCCUCCUCAUCAUGUUAUUUUUUGACAUUUUAGUAAUAGCCAUUCUGACUGGCGUGAGAUGGUAUCUCAUUAUGGUUUUGAUUUGCAUUUCUCUAAUGAUUAGUAAUGUUGAGAACUUUUUCAUAUAAUUCUUGGCUGCAUGUAUGUCUUCUUUUGAGAAGUGUCUGUUCAUGUUCUUUGCCAAGUUUUUAAUGAGGUUGUUUUAUGCUUGUUACUUAUAGAUUCUGGAUAUUAGACUUUUGUUGGAUGUAUGCUUUGCAAUUAUUUUCUCCCAUGCUGUAGGUUUUGUGUUUACUCUGUUGAUUGUUUCUUUAGUUUUGUAGAAGCUCUUUAGUUUAAUUAAGUCCCAUUUGUCAAUUGUUGGUUUUAUUGUGAUUACUUUUGAAGACUUAGCCAUAAAUUAUCUGCAAAGGCUGAUGUCUGGAAUAUUGUUUCCUUGGUUUUCUUCUAGUAGUUUUAUAGUUUGAGGUCUUACAUUUAAAUCUUUAAUCAAUAUUGAGAAAAUUUUAAUAUAUGGUGAAAUGUAGGGUUCCAGUUUGGUUCUUCUGCAUAUGGUUAGAAAACUAUCCCAGCACCAUUUAUUGAAUAGGGAGUCUUUCCUCAUUGCUUAUUUUUGUCUACUUUGUUGAAGAUUAGAUGGUUUUAGGCCUGUGGCUUUAUUUCUAGGUUCUCUAUUCUCUUCCAUUGGUCUGUAUGUCUAUUUUUAUAUUAUUACCAUCUUUUUUAUAGUAACCUUAUAGUGUAGUUUGAAAUCAGAUAGCGUGAUACUUCUGGAUUUGUUCUUUUUGUUUAGGGUUGCUUUGGCUUUUCGGGCUCUUUUUCAGUUUCAUAUGAAUUUUAGAACAGUUUUUUUUUUAAAUCUGUGAAAAAUGGCAUUGGUUGUUUAAUUAGAAUAAAAUUGAAUAUGCAGAUUCCUUUGGGGGCAGAAUGGUGAUUUCAAUGAUAUCGAUGCUUCCAAUCCAUGAGCAUGGAAUGUUUUUCGAUUUGUAUGUGUCACCUAUGCAUUCUUUCAGCAGUAUUUUGUAGUUCUUCUUGUAGAGAUCUUUUGUCUUCUUCAUUAGAUGGAUUCCUAGGUGGUUUUUUUUUUUUUUGGCUAUUGUUAAUGGGUUUGUAUUCUUGAUUUGGCUGUGAGCUUGAAUAUUAUUGGUGUAUAGAAAUCCUACUGCUUUUUAUACAUUGAUUUUGUAUCCUAAAACAUAACCGACGUCAUUUUUCAGUUCUUGGAGCCUUUUGGUGGGGACAUUAUGGUUUGCUAGAUAUAUAAUCACAUCAUCAGCAAAGAUAAAUAAUUUGACUUCUUCUUUUCCUAUUUAAAUUCAUUUUAUUCCUAUAUUUUGCCUGACUGCACUGGCUAAGACUUCCAUUAUUAUGUUGAAUAAUGAGUGGUGAUAGUGGGCAUCCUUGUCUUGUUCCUGUUCUUAAGGAAAAUGCUUCCAGCUUUUGCCCAUUAGUAUGAGGUUGGUUGUGGCUUUGUCAGAGAUGGCUGUUAUUAUUUUGAGGUAUGUCCUUUGAUGCCUAGUUCAUUGAGGGUUUUUAUCGAGAAAGGAGACUACAUUUUAUCAAAAACUCUUUCUGCAUCUAUUGAAAUGAUCAUAAGGUUUCUGUUUUUAAUUUUGUUUAUGUAGUGAAUCAUAAUUAUUGAUUUGCACAUGUUGACCUAGGCUUGCACCCCAGGAAUACAGCCUACUUGAUUGUGGUGAAUUAACUUUUUGAUGUGCUGCCAGAUAUGGUUUGCUAGUAUUUUGCUGAGGAGUUUUGCAUCUAUGUUAAUUCAGGAUAUUGUCCUAUAGCUUCUCGUUAAGUGUUAAGAUUUUCUAAAUUUUCACCAUGUUUACCAUUCUUCCCUAAAUAGGCUACUAUCAGUCUGUUGUCACAAGAUGUUUUAUAAGGAAAUAAAAUCAUGUUAUGAGCAAAGGGAUUCAGAUAUGAAAUGCAAGGCCAAUAACUGAAGAAGUUAUAAAAUAAGAGUUUACCCAUUUUCAAUUUUUUGGCCUAGUCACAUCAAAGGGAAGGAUUCUAGGACAAGGUUCGUUAAUAGUUUGUUUUUUUAGCCAGUUCAUCUCUACUGGGACCCUCUAACAUCCAUACUAUAUUUUAUAUUAUUUCCUUUGUGUAUGUGUGUGUGUGUGUGUGUGUGUUCACCUUAACAUAGAAAAUCACCGUAACAUAGAAAAUCUUUAGGGGAUGAGAGCUGGGAAGGUAGAGAAUGCUAUCUAACCCUCUCACCGUCCUCAACAAAUUGUGUCUACUCUAGUUUUCCUAAGGUAAACAGAUUUGGGGACUUUAAAGACAGGAAGAGUUUCCCUAAUUUCUCUGCAAUUAUGCUAUUAUAUCUCUUUUCUGAGACUACGGAAGCAUAAUGGCUGAGCAAUAGGCUAAGGUAGGAGCAAAUGAAGUGAAGAGGGAAUAAGAGCUUUAUUUAAGUUUCAAGCCCAUUAUUCUGUUACAUAUAUCUUUCUUUUCUAGUAGUGCUUUUCAUAUAAAAGGUCCUCAUUAAACAUUUGGUGAGUGAAUGAGUGACCUGGAAUGAACAGUGCCUGUACAUAAAGUCUGAGGUGACCAGGACACCUUCCAAUUUCAGAAACUACUAUUAGGCAGCUGUGACCCUUGAAAGACUGUGGCUUCAGCUGGAGCUCAUAUAAAUUCAGCAUGUUAAAGAAUAUUAAACUUUUGUUGUUGAAUAUUCAAAAGUAUAGCAAGUUGUUAGAAAUGGCCUGAAAUUUAUUUUUGUUUAUAAAAGUGUUCCCAGCUUUAAAAUGAGCUGUUCCCAAAAUUAGUGGGGCAAUUUUGGUGAGAUUAUAUUCAUGAGGCCUUACACAGAACUGGGAAUGAAUAUGAAAAAAAGCUGAAAGGACUAUUUAUGUAUGGGAAAGUUAUAAAGGAGUAUGUCUGGAUGAGUAAAAGUCUACUUAAAGGAUUGCACCACAGCUUGUGCCUGACAACUUUGGAGACAUGAUUGAGGGAUUAAAGUAGAACAAAGUAUUUGAUAAAAAGUUGCUCUGUUAGUCAGGAGGGCACACACAGGAAUGCUUUGAUGGCCAUAUGUCAAUGUGUGAAUCUGAAUUGGAAGGGACAAUUUUUCCUAUACAUCUGCAAGGCACAGCAUUGUCAUGGUGUUUUGGUGCAAAGACUCUAGGGGAUUCAUUAUCAGGACUGAUAUCGUGAACAUUUUGUGAGAGCUGCCAGUACAGAAGCACCAGCAGCAAUAGCAGUGAUGGAGAACCUGGAAGAGACAUCAUAGGCCAUGAGCAUUAGUAAUAUUAAGAGCAGGUAAAGAAGAGCAUCAGGACAUCAGGUGAGAGAAUGCUCAAAGUACCAGUCAAAUUGAGUGUGAUGUGUCUGGGAAGCUACUAAGUGAAGGAGAGUUGUUCUUUAUAAUGCUGGAAGUAUGUCAAUAGCAUGUAACAUCUUAAACCACACAAAGAGGCUCACAGUGCAGCCCCAUUUGUGCCCAGUAUUGUCUGAAUUGAUGAAACAGAGUUUUCAUGAUUAAUUCGUACAUAUUUGCUUGGUUUUCAAAAGAUUCUUACAAUCACUAUCUUGGAAGAGUUAAUUUAAUAAUAUGCCCUCAGCCCAGGAGGACUCUUGGUAUGAUACAGUUACCUGAGAUACAGUUAACUGAGAUACAGUUACCAGAUUAGAAAAGAAAAGUGCAGGACACUCAUUUAAAACUGAAUUUCAGAUAAACAGCAAUUUUUUUAGUGUAAUAUUGUUCCAAAUAAUACCUGGAACAUACUUAUAUGAAAAAAUGUUGUUUAUUAACAAUUUAAAUUCAACUGGAUGUUCUAUCUUUCAUCUAGUAACCCUACACUGGACCUGUUGCAUCAGUAACCUCCAUCUGCCAGGUGGCCAUCACUUCUUAUUUCUUUACAAAGGUGGAGGCGUGGUGAGGUUCUGCAUCAUAUAAGAUUGCACUUGACUCUGACUCUGCAGCUGCUCUGCUUGCUUCCUCAUUGGUGUCCCCUGCUCCUGGGUGAGGCACUUCACUGUUCAUGGCCUUCUGUCUGCGUGGGAGUGGAGCAUGUUCCUGAUUUGGUUUCUGCAGUCAGCACAUCAUCAUCGAUUUCCCUCGUGGUCUUCUGUGCUUCUUUCUCUCCCAUUUCAAUAGAGAUUCCUUUCUCUAGUCACCUCUUUUAGAAGAAUAUACUUUAGAAAAAACUGUUUUCAUUUUGUACCAUACAACUAUCUCCUUUCCAGGAGUAGGUGUGUAGAUGGUAUGCAGUAGGUGUGUAGUGAUAGGUUGAAGGAACAUUCAGGCACAAUUAAUAAAAUACUGAGAAGCAUUGUUUUCUACAGAAACUAUACCCUAGCUCCAAGUUUCCCCACUAUGUGGAGCUCCUUCCUUCUUUGUGAUAAUUUUUGAGUCAAAGAGUCAACUGCCUUUCUAUGAAACACAUUCCCAUGAGUUAUUCCUGAUCUCAGGUUCUUCGGAUGUUUGUGUAACUAUGUCUGCAGUCCUAUUUUGACUGAAAUCAAGUUCUCUUCCUUGGGAUUUCUGGACCUAAGGGAAUAAGAAAAUACAGUGAAACAUUUGUUUUCCUAUUCCUACAUGAAAAUUAAGAAGGCUGUUUUUUUCCUUUUGUUUGUUUCUGGAUUUUUGUUUUGUUUUGUGUGGUUGGUUUUGCCUUAUUUGAUAUUAUAUAGAAGACACAGAGAAAGUCAGGCUUGUCUCAUCCAUCUGUUUUAAUUGGGUAUUUUGAGUAUCAGCCCUAGCCCAGAUGAAACACUUUAUUGGACUUUCUAGUUAAAUGCUUUCUAUCUCAGCCCUAGCACAGAUAAAAAAUUGUAUUGCAUUUUCUAGUUAAAUACUUUCCAUGUAAAGUGGAUUUUUUAUUCAUUUGCAUGUAUAUUCUUUCAUCUUUGAAGAAUAAACAUAUAUGAGUUUUAUCACUUCUUUUUCAAAGAAGAAAGGAUUUAUGUUUGGUAAUAUGUAAGAUAUGAGAAACAUCAAGACUCAAAGAUAAACUUUGCUCUCAGAUGUCCGGUCACUAAUUGUGCUACCCAUCUCUGCACUUGAAUUUCCUUUUCUGUUAGGUGAGAAUAAUGAACCCUGCUGUUGUGGAUUUUUUUAAUAGUAGGGUGCUAUUACAUUCUGGAAUUAAUCAAGGAGUUACUUAAUAAAAUAUAUUCCAGUGUAUUAUAAGCACCUUUAGAUUUAAAAAGUGAACUUUUUAGUUGAGACUAAGGGAUUUUGAUCUCAUACCGUGACAAGAAGAUCUUGCCCAUUUCUUUCAUAUAAAGUGGUUGAAAGAAUUUAAUAUUCAUCUCACCCUUAAAUGACUUUGAUGCCUGAUUUUCAGCAAGCCUUUGAAUUUCUCUGUUUUCAAAAAUAUUGCUUCCAGGGGGCAGAUUGCCAUGGUUUUCUCAAAUUAACUUCCAGGCAUGCUUAUGUAAAGGGAAACUUGGUUAGUAAAAUGGACAGGGUUUAUUUGUCAGGGGAAAUGACUCCAGAAGAAAUGUAGACACAAAAGUGCCACUGUACGGAAAUUGAAGAGCUGAGCUCUUACUCUCAGCUUUAACAAUAAAAUGCUUUGUGACACUCAGAAACCUCUUUUGACUUUCUGAGACCUCAAUUUCUUUAAAUCUUGAAACAUAACAAUAGACUACAUUUGUAAUUCCCAAAGACAGUUGAACAGAAUCAUCUUGAGGUUUUAUCUUUUAAGUUAAGAUUCCUAGAUUCCUCCCCACAAUUCAUGACUCUGGCCACCCUACCUGGGAAAUUUCCUUGUUCCAAUGAUUGCCUUACAAAACAGCAACAGUCAAGGUGCAAUUGAAAUAGGAGAGUUCCCUGGUCCCCCUCCCAGGAUGUGCAACAGUAGUGUAGCUUGGCCCCACUGCUGCUUAUAGCAGUGGGAGCAUGCAGACAGGCAGGUGCAGUAGCCGGGUCCAGUGCUUCUGGGCUCUGGCCCCAUGGUAGCAUCUAGGGUUGCCUGUGACUCCUGAAGCCCAAGUAGGCACGAGUUACAGUGCUCUCUUUUAGAUUCGCCAUCUGUGGGUGGUUUAAGUGCUAAACAGCUCAGUGGGCCCUCUGCCUUUUUGCAAGGGCAGAGGGCCAGUGUGACAGCUUUCUUUAUCCCCAGCUCUUGUCUGGCAUCCAGGAAAAAUCAGGUCAUGCACAGACUUAAAGGAUGGUGAAUACAGAGGUUUUAUUGAGUGGUGGAGGUGGCUUUCAGCGGGAUGGAUGGUGAGCUAGAAAGGGGAUGGAGUGGGAAGAUGAUCUUCCCUUGGAGUUUGGCCAUCCAGCAGCUGAUCUUCUCUUCAACCCUCCCCAGCCAAACUCCUCUGGAUGUUCGGAUGUUCCUUCUCCUCUCUCCUUCUCUGCUGCACUUCUGCUUUUCUGUUCAUCUUCCCAUCUGCUCAUGGAGCCUGGGGUUUGGGGUUUAUAUGGGUACAGGAUGGGGGAGGAGUGGUAGGCCAAAAGGCAACAUUUGGGCAAGAAGACAGGAAUUCCUGUUCCCAUUUAGAGCUGUGGGUUUCCAGGCUUGGGGUGGGGCUUUUGCUGGGGAACCACCCUCUUCUACCCAGAAUUUCUGUCUCCUGUCCAUACCACAAUUGGUUUGGUGCCACAAAAAAAAAAAGUGAGUUCAUAAUAUUUGAUGUCAAAAAUAUGAACUGUGUUUAAGUUAAAAAUACUGUAUACAGGCUGAGCGCAGGGGCUCAGACCUGUAAUCUCAGCAGUUUGGGAGGCCGAGGUGGGUGGAUCACAAGGUCAGAAGAACGAGACCAUCCUGGCUAACACGGUGAAAUCCCGUCUCUACUAAAAAUACAAAAAAUUAGCCGGGCGUGGUGGCAUGCACCUGUAGUCCCAGCUGCUGGGGAGGCUGAGGCAGGAGAAUCACUUGAACCCGGGAGGCGGAGGUUUCAGUGAGCUGAGACCGCACCACUGCACUCCAGCCUGGGCAACAGAGAGAGACUCUCUCUCUCAAAAAAAAAAAAAAUACUGUAUACAAAUAAUAAAUACUACAUAUUGAGAUAAAAAUGAGAUUAAGAAAGUUGCAACAUUAAUCUAGGUAGAUACAAUAGAUGAAAAAAUACAUUGUGAUGAGCAGAUCCUGGAAAUCUGUAAUUUUUAUCUGUUCCAGAUGGUUCUGAAGAUUAGUGAUGAAAAGAAAUGACUGGGCUCUUUCAGCUCAAAUAUUUUAUUUCAUGUAAGGCUCUGAUUGCUAUCACUGAUCUGUGGUUUCCUUCUAUAAUAGAGAUGGAUAUUAAAUAACUGACUACUCUUAAAAUGAAAUCAUCUUUUAUUUGAUAGUCAUAUAUGGUGGUCAUCCUGGAUUUCAAAAACCGCCUUAACAAACACACAGGAAGGAGGGCUAUCUCAAGCAGUCUAAUACCCAUUGCUCUUUACUAGGUGGAGCAUGUCCUCGUGAACUCACAGUUCUCUUUGUACUAGAGGGAGCCUGUAUAGACAUGCUGUCAGAUCAAGCCUCUAUGUUUCAAGCUAGUAGACAGAUAAACUUUGUGUUUAAUCCCUCAGUAGAAAGUGCAGUAUUCAAGGUUUUAUGAGGUGUUCUAUUAUAUCUUUCACCUGAAUUUAUUUAGCAUGUAUUGAUUAUUAUUUGUUUAGAACUACACACAAAAAACAAAAUCAUAAUCCAUUUGUUCCUAAAGCUGAAAAAAAGGAGAUAUAACAAAAGAAAAAAAGACUGUAUAUCAUUAUGAGAAAAAAAUGAGUAAAAUAAGCUAUACAGAUUUUUGAAGAAGGAAGAAAUCAGUGGUGGUUAGAACAAUCUAGAAAGUCUGUAUGAUGAUAGGAGAUAUGCUCUGAGUGAGUAGAAUUUGGUUAUGCUGGAGGCGAAAAACAAAAUACAGAUGUUGACCUUAAACAAGUACAGGCCAGUCUUUUAAUCAUUGACAUCCAAACCCCUGCAAAAAGUUCACCAGGUUCAUUACACACCAAAGCAUCUUUAUUCCAUUCCAUACAUUCCAGAUGUUGUAUUUUAAUUUUGUCCCUCAAUUUUCUAUAAGUUAUAUAGAAUCUAUAUAAUAUUUUAUAUAUAUAUAUAUGUAAGUCAUUUUCUUUCGACAUAAAUUCUUUGAUAAAAUAUUGUUUGGGUUUGGGAUUUUUGUUUUGUUUUGUUUUGCUUCUAUGAGCACUUUUAGAGUCUAAUGAAGUUUCACACGCUUAUUUUCCUAAUAACUCUCUGUAAUCAUAAUUCCCUCUUUAAAAAUAUGGAAAUGUAUAUAACAAGUUAUUUUUACUUUUUUCCUUGGCCUGCCCUAAAGUUCAGUCACGUUGGCAUUAUUAGAACAGAGCAAUUUCUCCAUGGGCACUGUUCCUUCUAGUUUUUAUCUUCAUUUCAAAAUAGCGGAAUCUGUUUUAUUAUAAGUUUGAAAGUAUGAGUUUUAGGUAAUUGCAUAUUCUCCUUAAAGAUCUACAAUUUUCAUUCUUUCUCUCAGAACAUCUGCUUGUCAAGAGGAUUUUUUAAAUUCCAUUAAUUCUACCUAGAUUAAUGUUUCAAAUGCUGUAAUGUCAGUUUGUCUUAAUAUAUAAUAUUAUUAUUUGUAUACAUAAUUUCACUUACACAUAAUCUGUACUUCUGGCAUUAGAUAAAUGUUAUGAAUUCAUACUUCUCUGUAUUACCAAACCAGUUAUUCUUUGAGUGUGUCCAUAACGUAAGGUUAUCAGUGGCACAUGGAAAUGUCUCAGAUAGGGUUGCCAGAUAAAAUACUGGAUGUGCACAUAAAUCUUAAUUUUACAUAAAAAAUUAAUGAAAUUUUGUGAAUUAUGCAGAUAUGAGUCAUACUUAAAAUAUAUUGGUUAUUUUUAAUUCAAAUUUAAUUGAAUCUUCUCUCUUUAUAUUUGCCACACUUGGUGACCCAACCGAUAAAUCAUUUCAUCAGGCUUCUCCAAAGUUACCUGUUUUGUGUUUUUCUUCCUUUACUUUUCCAUCACUUUCCUCCUUUUUCUCCUUUGCUUAGUCAACACAGACUUUUGUACAUACACUCCUGCUUCUAGUUUCUCAAAAGCCAUUCUCAUCUGGCAUAUGUAUGUAUAUAUGUCUGAAACUUUUCAUACCAUUCCCUUAUUGUCUGCUCUUAAAUCUUCCAUUGCUUUCUAUUUCUCUUGUGAUAAAGUCCAAAUUUCUCACCUUCACUUUCAGGCUCCUUCUUUACUGAUUGCAUGUUCCUCUUCAGUUUCAUUCUCAAUAAGUCUCAAAAUUAAUGUCACACUCCAAAUGCCUUGAGAAUUAACCAUGUAUAUUGUAUAUUUUCAUCACUUUUCCCAGGUUUCUUCUGUGUCUGCAAUAUCUUCUCUCUUCUCAUCUGAUUAGCCUGUCAACCUCUGGUACAAAUCUUAUCUCUUGGAUGCUUUCCUAUACUUUUUAAUAUCUUUUGCAGUUACCCUCCUACUGAACUUAUCUGUAACAAUUACUUAAACACAUGAUUAUAAUUUGUACUUUUUUUUUUUGAAACGGAGUCUCACUCUGUAGCGAGGCUAGAGGGCAGUGGUGCGAUCUCGGCUCACUGGAACCUCCGCCUCCCAGGUUUAAGCGAUUCUCCUGCCUCAGCCUCUUGAGUAGCUGGGACCACAGGUGUGUGCCACCACAUCCAGCUAAUUUUUGUAUUUUUAGUAGAGACGGGGUUUCACCAUGUUGGCCAGGAUGAUCUCAAUCUCUUGACCUUGUUAUCCACCUGCCUUGGCCUCCCAAAGUGCUGGGAUUACAGGCGUGAAACACCACGCCUUGUACUUUAUUUUUAAACAAUGUUACAUUCUUUUUGUCUCCGUCAUUAAAAUACUAUUGUUGUUGUUGUUUUUAAGAUCAAAGACUAUGCCACACCUUUUUUUGAGUGCUGGUCAAACAGCGGGUGUCUUAAUAUGGUUUGGCUGCUAUAACAAAAUACAGUUGACCAGAUGACUUAAUCUGUUUUUUUACAGUUCUGGGGGCUUUGAAGUCCAGGAUUUGGUUCCUAAUAAAAACCAUUUUCCUGGUUUGCAAAGGGCCAUCUUCUUGCUGUAUUCUCACUUGACAGAGAGAGAGAGAGAGGUCAUCUCUUUUGUUUCUCUUCUUAUAAGGGUACUAAUCUCAUUCAUGAGGGCUUGACUUUCAUGACUUAAUUACCUCCCAACCCUCCUCCCUCAAUGCCAUUACCUUGAGGAUUAGGGUUCCAAAGUAUAAAUUUUGAGAGGACACAUUUUGUCCACAGCAGCAGGCAUUCAAUAAGCAUGUCUUCAACUGAAUGGAAGAUGAUAAGGACCUCUUACUCUAAAGUGCAUUGAUUUCCAUUGAGAAGGAAAUGAUUGAAGUAGUUUGGGGAAAUAUGGACCCAAUCAUACAUCUGCUUUGAAUAUUUGCUGUGCUGGAUGAAGUUUCAAUUUGUUAACAAUCUUAGGGGAGUUUAAGAGGGAAACCAAGUCAUUAUGCUUUCAUCAUGUAGCUUGUACGGAAAAGAACCUAUGAUGCUCUGAGAGAUAGCAUUUUUGCUGAGUUCAUUUAAGUACUUAGAUAUCUAAAGGCAUAUUCUCCUUUUCAUGAUUGCUCAUCUUUGUACCAUGUCAAGUUUGAAUAUCUUGGAUAUGUUUUAUCAUGGCCAUUGAAAUAAGUCAUUGCAUUAUAUUUGGCACCAGAUCAGUAGAUGACAAAGUUUAUACUUGAUUGAAGGCAUGACAUUAGGAAAGUGGACAUUUCAGGAAUCAUUCUGAACUUAGUAUGAUGACAAAUAAUAAGACACAGACACCUUUGAUCUACUGACGGGGCCCAGACAUGGCCUGGUAUCGUUGGCUAGUACUAUAUCUCUAGAGUUUAUAUAAAUCAAUUUACAGGAACAUUAUUUAUUUUUUUCUCUAAGACUAUUUGCUAGAAUGAGGUCAGAAAGAAAGAUUAAUAUGACACCUAAUACUGCAGCAAGAAGAAAACCAUUUUACAAUUAGGGUCAAAUCUUAAAGAGGCAGGUGUUUUUGCUUUGCCAGAAAAUAUUGAAUUUACAACUUCUCAUUAAUAAUCCUGAUCGAUCCUAUUUAAGAGACCCAGCAGCAGUGCAGCAAAGUGACACAAGAAGAGGCCUUGAGUGUUUGAAGUCCUGGGUUGACAGUUCCCUUCAGAAACUUCAGUUUUGUCAUCUGAGAAUUAGAAAAUGCCAUGGAGUUGUAUAGGAAUUAAAACUGAAAGUAGGUGAGUAGUGGUGUUUCUCUAAUAGGAGCUCCUUAAUGAGCGGGUGUGUCUGACUCCACACCUUCCCUUGCCUAAGGAACCAAAGUUUAGGUCUAUGUAGGAACUUGUACAGUACUUUUAUAUUUUAAUGUUCUUUCAAGUGUUUUGCUCAUGUUCUUUUUUAAAAAAUCUGCAUAUAUAGGCAGAGCUUAUAUUAUUCUCCCUAUAUUUUUUCAGAAAAAGCAACUGAGUCAUAGAAUAAUUGUGUGAUACCAUGGAAAGAUGACUAAAUGGGAAUCAGGGAAGUUUGAUGAAAUUUCCAACUUAGCCACUAACUAUGCUAUGACCUUGAGCACUCUAGUACUCUUAUAUUUAAAGUAAAAAUGUUGAACUAGAAGUUCACUGUGUUUUCACAUAACUCUGAAAGCCUGUAAUGCAGCUUAGUCAGAGGCAAAAUUAUAAACAGAAUUUGGGUUUUUCUGGAUGUUAAGUGGUAUAGCUUUUCUUGCUUGAUCAUAUUGCUUCUUUUGCAGUUAUUUGCAGCAUUGAUCUUUACAUGAAGAAAUCUAAAUUUCUUUGCCCUUUAAAAUCCAAUUUAAUUUAAAAUUUAAAUAUAUGUGUCUUAGAGUAAAUGUUGCUCAACCACCAAUGAUUUGUUGUAACUGCAUGGGGGACACACAUAAAUCAAAAAUGCAUUUAGAGCCCUGUCCAAAUUAUAAAUUCAAUAACUUGGUUCAAAUUAUAAAUCAAAUGACUAGUGUGCAACUGUCAAUCAAUCAAAAUAGAUUAAUAACCUCAACUGAAGUGAUUUGAUGAACUAUAGACGUUAUGGAAACUGCAAGAUUUCAGCUCUAAUUUGAAGUGCUUUUUACAGUGUUGGCAGAAUGCUUCUACCCACUGGAAAAUAGGAAUAGGGAAAUUUAUAGAACACAUUCCACGGGCUUUACUCUGGCAGUUUUUUUGGUCUCACAACUGCCCUCUUCAGAAUGUAGUCUUAUCGCCAUUAUCAUCUUACAGAUGAGGGACUGAAGAUCAGAGAGGUGAAGUAGCUUGCCUCAUGUCACAUGCUGAUAGAAUACAGAACAGGGGUCAAACCACCUGGGGAGUCUUUCUCCAGAUACUGAUCUUAUAACAGCUACAUUAGACUGUUUCUUAUACAGUUCCCAGCAGAGAAGGGUGACUCGUCAAUAAAAUUUCAUAGUUAAAUUAUCUUCAGUUGCAAACCACAUCUAAUGGUUGUAGAAUAUAAAGAUUCUGAGAAAUCUAAGGCAUGUCGUUUUCACCUUUUUUUUUAAAUAAUAAAAAGGCGCCUUGAAUGAUUCUUCCUUAAAUGAAUUAUUUUAGCUUAUCAGGGCUUUUCAUUCCACUUGUGUGUUUUUCGUCACUUAAUAAAACUACAAGCUUGCUAAAGUUAGCAGAAUUAGAAGCUUUGAUUUUUUGUUUAAUUUUUAUAAUGAGCUGCCUGAACCACUUAUCCUCUACCUGCAGCUUCUUCCUUCUAUAGAUGCAAGAAAUGCCUGGCCAUGCUAUGGGAUUUUGUGAGGGUUAUAAACAAAGGAUUUCAUGCCAAUAACUCGGUUUUGUUUCCCAUAGAUAACAUACGAGGUUUUAGUAAUUGGAUUUUAUAAAUUCAUUUCAGAUGGGUACCUACUGCAAGAUAGCUUCUGUGCUAGCUAUCUUCACAGGCAUUAUCUGAUCUAAGUUUGAAAACAACACUGAGGAGGUGGUUCUUAUUAGCAUCAAGACUUCUUAAGUCAUGAGCUCUAUGGAGUUUCUUGGGAAAUGUAAUGAACACGAAUGGCCUGUCUUACAAAAAUUUAGAUGACUCUAUUGACCUGAUAUUCCAACUUCUGAGAGUAGAAAAGGUAGAACCUCAAACUCUUACUUCCCAAAGGAAGUAUGGUUUCACAAAAACUUACAAAAGUUAAGCCUCUCCACAUUGCAGUAACUUUCAGCAUUCUCCGUAAUUCUCCGGCCUGUCAGGAUUCUAAGGAUCCUAAUAACCGCAAGAGGAUAGGCUGUGUGCACUGGAGAGAUAAGAGAAUGAGCUUGAAGCUUUUGCCUCACACAGUACCCCCUACAUUACAUUUAGCAGUAUGAGUGCUUUUAUCGUUGUUUGAUAGUAGUAGUAGCAGCAGCUGCAGGAACAGCAGCAUCAGCAGUAGUACUACUAAAUCCUUGGGAUAUGUAUUUCUAGCCAAUAAGCCAUGAACCCUUCAAGGUAGCCUGCACCCCUGAGCUCAGGCUCAUCUGCAGCCAACACUAACCACAGGCAAAAUCAAGUAGCUACUGCUUGACAAAUAGAGGAAGUUUAUCCCUGGUACAACAAGAGACCAUGAAACAUGAUGAAAGUAAAGAGAAUAUUGGUUAUUAUUAAUAGUAAAGAUUCAUAGAUGCCUUUACCUGUGGAAGACCUUCCCCAACUCCCUACUGAAGGUCAUUACUGUUCUUAAUUUAAUGCUAAUAAUUUCCUUGAUUUUAAAAGUUUUUUUUAGUUUUUUUGUUUGUUUGUUUUAAUUGUGGCAAAUUGAAAAUAGCAUUAAAUUUACCAUCUAAACUAUUUUUAAGUAUACAAUUCAGUAAUGUUAUGGACAUUCAGAUUGUUGUGCAACCAAACUCCAAAACUCUUCUUGUCAUGCAAAGCAAAUUCUUUACGCAGUUUCCCCUCUCCUCAGCCCCUGGUAACUACCAUUUAAUUUUUUGUUUUUUAUAAAUUUGAUUACUCUAACACCUCAUAUAAAUAGAAUUAUACAGUAUUUUUGUUUUUAAGACUGGCUUAUUUCACUUAGUAUAGGAUUUUCAAGGUUUAUAUCCAUGUUAUACUACAGAUCAAAAUGUUCUUCCUUUUUAAAGCUGAAUCAUAUUCUAUUUCAUGAAUAUACCCGAUUUUGUUUACCCAUUCAUCUAUCAAUGAAAACUUGGGUUGCUUCUACAUUUUGGCUAUUAUGAAUAAUGUCUCUGUGAACAUAGGUAAUAGAUAAUACCUUCCUUGAAUUUAUUUUUAAUUUUAUUGUGAACAAAAAUAUUUCUAUACAGUGUAUGAUUUACUUUAACUUGUUAUUGCAGAAAAUUAUAUUCCGAGUUGCAUCCAUGCUUGCCAAGAAAACCUUAUUUUCGUUGUUAACUCGAAUUGCAUUAUAUAAUGCCAUCUAUUCUACUGAUGAUGCACAUUGGAUUAUUUCAUUUAUUUUCUUGCUAAUAUGAACAUGCUAAUUUGAAAAUUCUUCUACUGCAUCCUAAUGUGUCUUCAACAGACUUGCUACUCAACAGUGACUAAAGUAUUAGAAACAUCAGCAUCACUUGCUACUCAACAGUGACUAAAAUAUUAGAAACAUCAGCAUCACUUUGAGUUUAUUUAAAAUUCAGAAUACCAGGCCUCAUCUGACCUCCAAAUCAGAAUAUUUAAUUUGUCAAGAACCCAGUGGAAUUUGUAGGCAUAUUAAGGUUUGAGAAACGCUUCUGUAGAGCUGUCCUAUCCUAUGAGGUAGCCACUAGAAAUGUAUUCUAUUGAGCUCUGAAAUUGUGGCUAUUCUGUAUUGCAGUACGCUGUAAGUAUAAAUUACAUAAUAGAUUUCAAUGACAAUAUAAAAAUGUAAAUUAUCUCAAUUUUUACAUAGCAUAUCAAUAUGGUAAUCUUUUAUAAAUAUUGGGUUAAAGUGUUUAAUUAAAUUAAUUUUAUCAGUUUAUUUUUCCUUUCAUAAUAUUAUUGCCAGAAAAUUUUUAAUUAUAUAUAAGGCUUAGGUUAAAAUUCUGUAAUACAGAGCUGCUCACAAAUAGCAGGGGUAUUCCUGUGCUAUAACUUAGGAAUAUCUUUUAUCUAGUCUGGCUCCACUCAACAUAAUUUGAACUUCAUUAUUAUUUUAUUUAGUAAUGUGUUUAGAGUUUCCACGUUUUCCAUUUUAUCGCUUACCAUAUGAUUUUUAAAAAUUUUGUGGCUACAUAGUAGGUAUAUAUAUUCAUGAGGUAUAUGAGAUGUUUUGAUACAAGCAUGCAAAGUGAAAUAAGCACAUCAUGGCGAAUGGGAUAUGCAUCCCCUGAAGCAUUUAUCCUUUGAGGUACAAACAACCCAAUUACCACUCUAAGUUAUUUAAAAAUGUACAAUUAAGUUAUUAUUGACUAUACACACCCAUAUGUGCUAUUAAAUAGUAGGUCUUAUUCAUUCUUUAUAACUAUUUUUUUGUACCCAUUAACCAUCUUCACCUCCACACCCAGCUCCACUAUCCUUCCUAGCUUCUGGUAACCAUCCUUCUGCUCUCUAUGUUCAUUAGUUCAAUUGUUUUGAUGUUUAGAUCCCACAAAUAAGGGAAGCAUGUGUGUUGUUUUCUAUGCCUGUCUUAUUUCACUUAUUUCACAACAACAUCAUAAUCCAGUUCUAUCCUUGAAAAUGACUGAAUCUCUCUUUUUUAUGACUCAGUAGUACUCCAUUGUACAUAUGUCCCACAUUUUCUUUAUCCAUUUAUCUGUUGAUGGGCACUUACUUUGCUUCCAAAUCUUAGCUAUUGUAAACAGUGCUGCAACAAACAUAGACAUGCAGAUAUCUCUUUAACAUAUGCAUUUCCUUUAUUUGGGGUAUAUACCCAGCAAUGGGAUUACUGGAUCAUAUGGUAGCUCUGUUUUUAGUUUUUUGAGGACCCUCCAAACUUUUCUCCACAGUGGUUGGACUAAUUUACAUUCCUACCAACCACGUACAAAGGUUCUCUUUUCUCCACAUUAUCACUAGCAUUUGUUAUUGCCUGUCUUUUGGAUAUAGGUCAUUUUUACUAAGGUGAGAUGAUAUCUCCUGGUAGUUUUGAUUUGCACUUCUCUGAUGAUAAAUGAUGAUGAGCACCAUUUCAUGUGUCUGUUUGCCAUUUGUAUGUCUUCUUUUGAGAAAUGGCUAUGCAGACUUUUGCCCAUUUUUUGAUCAGAUUAUUAGAUUUUUAUCCUAGAGGUUUGUUUGAGCUCCUUACAUAUUUCUGUUUAUUACUUCUUGUCAAGUGGGUAGUUUGCAAAUAUUUUCUCCCAUUCUGUGGAUUAUCUCUUUGCUUUGUUGAUUGUAUCCUUUGCUGUGCAGAAGCUUUUUAAUUUGAUGUGAUCCCAUUUUUCCAGUUUUGCUUUGGUUGCCUGGGCUUGUGGAGUGCUGUUCAAGAAAUUUUUGACCACACCAAUGUCCUGGAGAUUUCCUCAGUGUUUUCUUGUAGUGCUUUCAUAAUUUGAGGUCUUAGAUUUAUUCAUUACUUCAGAAUCCGUUUUGAUUUGAUUUUUGUAUAUGGUGACAGACAGGGGUCUAGCUUCAUUCUUCUUCAUAUGGAUAUGCAGUUUUCCUAGCACUGCUUAUUGAAGAGACUAUGUUUUCUCCAGUGUGUGUUCUUGCCACCUUUGUUAAAAGUUCACUGUAGAUGUGGAUUUGUUUUUGGGUUCUCUAUUCUGUUCAAUUGGUCUAUGUGUCUCUUUUUAUGCCACCACCAUGCUGUUUUGGUUACUAUAGCUCUGUAGUGUAAUUUGAAGUCAGAUAAUUUGAUUAAUCCAGUUUUGUUCUUUUUGCUUGGGAUAGGUUUGGCUAUUCUGGGUCUUUUGUGGUUUCAUGUAAAUUGUAGGGAUUUUUUUCUGUUUCUCUGAAGAAUGUCAUUGAUAUUUACACAGUGAUUAUAUUGAAUCUGUAGAUUGUUUUGGGUAGUAUGAACAUUUUAACAAUAUUGAUUCCUCCAUCCCAUUAGCAUGGAAUAUCCUUCCUUGUAUGUGUGUGUGUAUGUGUUUAUGUGUGUGUCCUCUACAGUUUCUUUCAUCAGUGUUUUGUAGUUUUCAUUAUAGGGAUCUCUCACUUAUUUGGUUAAUUCCCAGGUAUUUAAUUUUAUCAGUGGCUAUUGUAAAUGGGUUUACCUUUUAUUUCCUUUUCAGAUUGUUCACUGUUGGCAUAUGGAAGUGCUACUGAUUUUUGUAUGCUGAUCUUGUAUCCUGAAAAUUUACUGAAUUUUUAAAUCAGUUCUAAUCGUUUAUUAGUGGAGUCUUUAGGCUUUUCCAAAUAUUAAAUUAUAUCAUCUGCAUACAGGGGUAAUUUGACUUCUUCCUUUCCAAUUUGGAUAUCCUUUAUAUUUUCUCUUGUGUGCUUUAUCUUGUGUGCUUGCUAAAACUUCCAGUAUGUUGAAUAGCACUGGUGACAGUGGGCAUCCUUUUCAUGUUCCAGAUCUCAGAAGAAAGUCUUUCAUCUUUUCCCCAUUAGGUAUUAUACAAGCUGUGGGUUCAUCAUAUAUGGUUUUUAUUGUGUUGAGGUGUGUUUCUUCUAUCCCCAGUUUUUUCAGGGUUUUUAUCAUGAUGGAAUGUUGAAUUUCAUCAAAUACUUUUUCAGCAUCAAUUGAAAUAAUCUUAUGCUUUUUAUCUUUCAUUCUGUUGAUAUGAUGUAUCACAUUAAUUGAUUUGAAAAUGGUGUACCACAUUAAUUGAUUUGCAUAUGUUAGGCUAUCCUUGCAUCCCAGGGAUAAAUCCCACUUGUCCAUAAUGAAUGAUCUCUCUAAUGUAUUGUUGAAUUCUAUUUGCUAGUAUUUUGUGAGGAUUUUUGCAUCUACCUUCAACAGAGUUUUUGGCCUAUAGUUUUAUUUAUUUAUUUAAUUACUUAUUUUUUUUUUGACAUGUCUUUGGUUUAGGUGUCAGGUUAAUACUGGCCUUGUAGAAUGAGUUUGGAAGUAUACCCUACUCCUCUAUUUUUCUUUUAAUAGCUUCAGUAGGAUUGAUAUUAGUUCUUCUUUUAUGUUUGGUAUAACUCAGCAGUGAAGCCAUCAGGUCUUAGGAUUUUCUUUACUGGGAGAUAUUUUAUUACGGCUUCUAUCUCAUUUCUUGUUAUUGGUUUGUUCAGGCUUUGGAUUUCUUCCUGGUUCAAUCUUGGUAGGUUGUAUGUGGCUAGGACUUUUUCCAUUUCUUCUAGAUUAUCCAAUUUAUUGGCAUAUACUGGCUCUUGUUAGCUGCUAAUGAGCCUUUAAAUAUCUGUAGUAUCAGCGGUAAUGUCUUCUUUAUUAUUUCUAAUUUUAUUCAUUUGGAUCUUCUCUCCUUUUUUUUUUUUAGUCUUGCUAAUGGAUUGUCAAUUUUGUUUAACUUUUCAAAAAGACAACUUUUUAUUUCAUCAAUCUUUUGUAUCUUUUUAUUUCAUUUUUCUGUUCUGAUUUUAUUUUAUUUUUUCUAGUAACUGUGGGUACAGUUUGCAUUUGCUCUUAUAGUUCUUUAAGAUUCAUUAUUAGAUUGUUCAUUAGAAGUUUUUCCUCUUACUUGAUGUAGGCACUUUUAGCAAUAAAAUUCCCUCUUAGUGCUGCUUUUGUUGUAUUCCAUAGGAUUUGGUAUCUUGUAUUUCCAAUAUGAUAUGUUUCAAAGAAUUUUUCAAUUUCCUUAUCAGUUUCUUCGGGGACUGACUGGUCAUUCAGAAGCAUAUUGUUGAAUUUCCAUGCUUUUGUAUAAUUUCCAAAAUUCCUCUUGUUAAAUUUCUGUUUUUAUUUCAUUGUGAUCAGAGAAGAUGCUUGAUAUUUCAAUUUUUUGAAUGUUUUAAGACUUGUUUUGUGAUCUAAAUUAUAGUCUAUCCUUGAGAAUAAUCCAUGUGCUAAGGAUAGGAGAAUAAUGUUUAUUCUGCAUCCAAUUGAUGAAAUGGUCUGUAAGUACUUAUUAGAUUCAUUUGGUCUAUAGUGCAGAUUAAGUCUGAUUUUUUUUGUUGAUCUUCUAUCUGGAAAAUUUGUCCAAUGCUGUAAAUGGGUCAUGAAGUCUCCAAUUGUUAUUGCAUUGGGGCCUAUCUCUCUCUUACGCUCUAAUGAUAUUUACUUUAUAUAUCUGGAUACUUCAGUGUUCAGUGCAGAUAUAUUUAAAAUUGUUAUAUCCUCUCACUGAAUUGACCCCUUUACCUUUAUAUAGUAACAUUUUUUCUCUCCUUAUAGUUUUUGUCUUGAAAUCUAUUUCGUCUAAUAUAAGUAUAGCUACUCCUGCUUUUUUUCAGUUUCCAUUCACAUGGAAUAUCUUUUUUCAUUUAAAAAAAAUUUCACUGUGUGAGUCUUUACAGAUUAAGUGUGUUUCUUGUAAGCACCGGAUCAAUGGGUCUUGUUUUUUCAUCCAUUUAUCUAGUCUAAGUCUUUUGAUUGGAGAGUUUAGUUCAUUUACAUUCAAUGUUAUUAUUGAUAAGUAAGAACUUCUGCUAUUUUGUUAUUUGUUUUAUGGUUUUCUCUUUCUUCUUUCCUUCCUGUAUUUUUCUAUGAAGUUAAUUUUUUCCAGUGAUAUGAUUAAGUUUCUUGCUUUUUAUUUUUGUGCAUCCAUUGUAUGUUUUUUGGUUUGAGGUUAUAAUGAGGCUUGCAAAUACUAUCUUAUAACCCAUUAUUUUAACCUGACAACAACUUAACACUAUUUGCAUAAACAGGAAAACAAAUAAGGAAAAGGAAACGUAAUAAAAACUCUACAUCUUAACUUUGUCCACCCACUUUUUAACUUUUUGUUGUUUCUAUUUUUAUCUUAUUGUACUAUGUCUUAAAAAGUUGUUGUAGUUAUUGUUUUUGAUCGGUUCGUAGUUUAGUAUUUCUACUUAUGAUAAGGGUAGUUUACAUACCACAGUUACAAUGAUAUUAUAUUCUGUAUUUUUCUGUGUACUUACUAUGUACCUUCAGGUGAUUAUUUAUUGCUCAUUAAUGUUCUUUUCUUUCUGAUUGAAACACUCCCUUUAGCAUUUCUUUAGGAAAGGUCUGGUAUUGAUGAACUACCUCAACUUUUGUUUGUCUCACAAAGUCUUUAUUUCACCUUUAUGUUUGGUGGAUAUUUUUGCCAGAUGUACUCUUCUAGGGUAAAAGUUUUUUCUUUCAGCGUUUUAUAUAUGUCAUGCCACUCUCUGCUGCAUUGUAAGUUUCCCAGUGAAAAGUCUGCUUCCAGGCAUAUUGAUGCUCCAUUUUAUGUUAUUUGUUUCUUUUCUCUUACUGCUUGUAGGAUCUUUCCUUAUCCUUAACCUUUGAGAGUAUGAAUAUUAAAUGCCUCCAGGCAAUUUUCUUUGGGUGAAAUCUGUGUUCUAUUCCCUUCUUGUACUUGAAUAUUAAUAUCUUUCCCUAGGUUUGGGAAGUUUUGAAUAAACUGUCUACCCAUAUUUCCUUCUCAACUUCCUGAUUAAGGCCAAUAACUCUUAGAUUUGCAAUUUUGAGGCUAUUUCCUAGAUCCUGUAGGCAUGCUUCAUUAUUUUGUAUUCCUUUGUCUUUUGUCUCCUCUGACUGUGUUUUCAAAUAGCCUGUCUCUAAGCUGACUAAUUCUUCUGCUUGGUCAGUUCUGCUAUUAAAGGACUCUGAUGCAUUCUCCAGGACACCAAUUUCAUUUUUCAGCUCCAGAAUUUCUGCUUGAUUCUUUUAAAUUAUAUCAAUCUCUUUGUUAAAUUUAUCUGACAAAGUUCUGAAUUUCUUCUUUGUGUUUUCUUAAAAUUUUUGUGCUUUUCUAACACAGCUAUAUUAAAUUCUCUGUCAAAAGGUCUUAUAAUAUCUGUUUCUCCAGGAUUGGUCCCUGAUGUUUUAUUUAGUUUAUUUGAUGAGGUCAUAUUUUCCUGGAUGGUGUUGAUGUUAGUAGAUCUUUGAUGUGUGGACAUUGAAGAGUUAGGUAAUUAUUGCAGUCUUCACUGUCUGGGCUUAUUUGUAGCCAUCAUUCUUGGGAAAGCUUUCCAGAACUUGGUUUUUGUGAUUUAACCUGUAUUCACUUUUGGGGCCACCCAAGCCUAGUAAUAUUGUGGUUCUUGCAGAUUCAUGCAGGUACCAUCUUCAUGGUCUUGGACAAGAUCUAGGGGAAUUAUCUGGAUUACCAUACAGAGAUUUUUUUUCUAUUCCCUUACAUUCUCCCAAACAUACAGAGGCCUUCUUUUGCUGUUUCAGCCACCUAAAACUGGGGGCAGAGUGACAUAAACACCCCUGUGUCCACCACCAAUAUGGCUGUCCUGGGUCAGACCCGAAGCCAGCACAGCACUGGGUCUCACCUAGAGCCUGCUGUAAUGACUCCCUGGCUACUGUCUAUGUUUGCUCAAGGUUCUACAGCUCUACUAUCAGCAGGUGGCAAAGCCAGCCAGACCCUGUCUUUCCCUUCAGGAUGGCAAGCUCCCCCAGGCCAAGGGUGGGUCUAGAAAAGCUGUCUGGAAGUCGGGAACUGCAGUCAGAAACCUUAGUCUACCUUGUGUUCUAUCGUAUUGUGGCUGAGCUGGCAUUCAAACCACAAGAUGCAGUCCUUCCCAUUCUUUUCUCCCCUUUCCAAAGGCAGAGGAGCCUCACCCCAUAGCCACUGCCACCCUAGGCCACGAGGAGUACUGCAAGACUACUGCUGAUACUCCCUUAAGGCCCAAGGUCUUUUAAGUCAGCUUGUUGUGAAUACUGCCUGGCCUAGGACUCACCCUUCAGGGCAGGGGGCUUCUCUGUGGCCCAGGGCAGGUCCAGAAAUGCCAUCCAAGAGUCAAGUUCUUUAACUGGGGACCCUAAUGGCCUCCUUAGUGCUCCAAUCCCCUGUGACUGUGCUGAUACCUGAACUCAGUUGUAGAGGCUCACCCAAGGCCCGCAAUGUAGUACCUGGGUAUUGCUGCUGGUUAUUUAGGGUUGAAGGGCUCUUCGGUUAGCAGAUGAUAAAUGCUUCCCAGAGUAUGUCCUUUCCUUCAAAGUAGUGGGUUCCCCUCUGGCCAAGGAUGUGUCUAGAAAUGUCAUCCAGGAGCUUGGGCCUGGGACAGGGGCCUCACGACUCUGACCAGUGUCCUAUCCUACUGUAGUUGAGCUGGUAUCCUAGAUGCAAAACCAAGUCCUCUGCACUCUUCCCUCUCCUCUCAAGUGGAAGGAAUGGGUCUCCUUUUGAGCAACAAGCUGUGCAUCCUGAGUUUAGGGGAGGGGUGAUGUCAGCACUGCCUUGGCUCCUCUAGCUGGUGUCUCAGUCCACUGAGUCCACUGUCUCUGGAGCUAGUUCAGCACUAAGACUUGAGUGAGAAUUGCAGUCCUUAUGGCCUAGACUGCCUUUCAAGUUUACUUGGAAAUACAGAAGCUACAGCCUUCAGUGGUGAGUUCAAUUUUAGACCACUAGGAUCAAUAAUUUCCCUCUGACUAGGGCUGGCUAGGGCUGGUUUAAAUGCUCCCUCCACAGCUAGUGCAUCAGCUCAGUUUGGCCCAACUUUCCUUUCUGCUCUAACAGGGCAACACUUAGCUAAAUGCUUCACAAUUGGCUCUCCCUCCCGCAGCACCCAGAAAAGCUGUCUAUGUCAGGCAUCCCACCAUGCGCAUGUGUGCUUGGGGAGGGGGAUGGGCGUCGGUGAUUCAGAAGUGUUUUUUUCUAUCUUUUCAGUGAUAUGAAGUUAAAACCAGGUACUAUGAGUGCUCACUUGAUUGUUGGUUUUUAUAAAGGUGUUUUUUUUCUGUGUAGAUAGUUGUUAAAUUGGUGUCCUUGCAGACAGGACAAUCAGUGCAGCUUUCUAUGCCACUGUCUUUCUCUGCCUCCUCCAAUAUCUUGCUGCUCACCAUUUCUUCUUGUAUUUCCAAUUCUUCAUCUAAGAUCACUUUUCUUAUGUAGUCUAUUCUUUGUAAUUUUAUCUAAUUAAUAAUCAAUUAAUGGUAAACUCCAUUUUUGUUUUUCUGAACAUGUCUGUUUUAAUCUAAUUCUUGAUAAAUAAUUUUAAUACAUAUAAAAUUCUAGGUUGACUUUCAUUAUCUUUCUAGUUUUUGAGGAUAUUAAUCCUUUACCUGGUGACUUCCAUUCUUGCUAAAAGCUCAGGUUUUUGUUAAAUUAAAUUGGUAGUAAGAUAACUUGAUUUUAAUUGAAUUUUUUUAAAACAUACACAUUUAUUGUCCUGUAUUGCACAAUAAUAAAUUCUCAUUUUAUAUCCCUUAUAUUUUUCCUCAGCCUGAGACUUUGGAUCUAGUCUGUUCUUCCUUGCAUAGUUAUCUUCUCUUUAUAAAUGUAAAUCAUAGCUCUCUCCAGUGCCUUCCCACUCUAUACCCAACUUGUUACCUCAGCCACCAUACCAAAAAUAUGAUCUAUGUCCAUAGAAUUUCCAAGUCUCCAGGUUCUAGACUUAAGUCCUUGUUCAUUUUGCCACUGACAUAAUUUCAUUUAUUCCUCCUCUUCUUUCUCCUCCUCUUGUUCUUCAUCUUCCUCUUCUUCUAAAAUUUAAGCAUUAAUUUAAGUAUGAAAAUUCCAAUAAUUUUAACUGUGUAGUUUGAUGAAUUUGUGUCUAUGUAAAUAUUUUAUAUAUAUAUAUGUAUACAUGUAAUAUACGUAUACUAUAUGCACAUACUAUGUGUAUGAAUACAAAUACACACAUACAGAUAUACACAUAGAUAACUACUACCUAUAUCAGAAAAUUUAGAACAUUUAUAACAUUCUAGCAGGCUCCCUUUUCCCGCAUAUAGUUGAUAUGCCACAAAGACAAAUUUUAUUCUCACCUUUAGUAAGACAGAUUUAUUCUGCUUGGUUUUGAAUAUUUUUUAAUGGAAUGAUACUAUAUGCACUCUUUAUAUCUGAUGUCCUUCAACAUUUUAUAAGAUUCAUCCAUUGUUUUAUAUAGUAGGGAUACAUUCAUUUUAAUUUAUAUGUACUAUUCUCUUGUGUGAAUAUUCCAGAAUUUAUUCAUCAGUUAUUCUCUUGGUAAACAUUUGCAUUAUUUCCAUUUUUUUGCUGUUAUGAAUAAGGCUGCUGUGAACAUCUUGUGCAUGCUUUUGAUGGGCAUACACAUUCAUUUUGUGGAGUUAUAUAGAUAGGCAAAAAAGUAAUUCCUGGGUCACAGAAUAUAUGCAUGUUUAGCUUUGAAAGAUGUUGAGAAACAAGUUUUGUUUUCAAGCAAUUGUAUUAAUCUUAAUACCAGUUGUUCUACAUCCUUGCCAAUGCUUAGUAUUUUUAGCUAUUUUACUGUAGCCAUCCUGUUGCUGAGCCCUAUUUUUAACUUUUGUUGAGGCCGUAUGUCUGUUUCCAAACUGUGAACAAUCAACAGGUAGUAGGUAGAACUUAGAUCCUGGAUCAUUGAGUUAUACUUUAUCAGUCACAAUAAUGUAAGUCAAAAAAUAGGGAUGGAAAAACAUCCAGAAUGGCUCUCUUGUGCUCUCUCUUGCUCUCUGUCUCUGUCUGUCCGUCUGUCUGUCUGUCUUUCUCUCUCUCUCUCUCUCUAUAUAUAUAUAUAAUAUAUAUAUACACACACACAAUCCCCUUUGUAAUAUAUAUAUUUAUUUAAUUAUAUAUUGCUAUA
rnacentral:lncRNA from 1 species